rnacentral:lncRNA from 1 species
UUUCCUAAUCUAACCAUCAAUACUUUAUCAGUAGGAUCCAAACCAUGGAAUCAAGCAAUCUUCAAUACCAUAUAAGUACACAAAUAUUUCCUUUGAACCUAUCUCAUUUCCUUCCUCAAGAACUCUUCUCAUUAACUAAUGUAAUUUUCCAAUUUUCACCACGCUCAUCACUAUAGAACUAUGCUCUAUCUUUACUCGAGUUAAGCUGAUGGUCUAAAUCGUAAAUGUAUACUUAGUCAAUCUAUAUCUAGAAUUGAUUGCAAAAAAAAUUGUAUUUCAUAAAAUUCUACCACAUAUAUCUAUAAGAAAAUAAAAUACGAUGCUUAAGUAAAAUCAUGACAUAUACUUCUUAGAAAUAAAAUAUCUUCACUUGGAAGCGGUUAAGUGGAAAGUUAUUGAAGUUCAUGUGGCACAAUCUAGGAAAUUGAAUUAUAAUUCUACCCAACUUAAAACAAAUGUGCAAAAACAAUACUGAAAAUAUUUUUAACUCAACAUCAAAACAUAUAAAAAGGAAUCAGAAGUGAGUUCUACUAAUAUUUUCUUAACUGCUUCCUCACUACGGGUGUAUCCAUGGUGGAAAAGGUGAUGUAAACCCCUCUAAAUACUUCUAAGUAUUUCCAAGAAUGAAAUUGGAUAAAAAGUAAAGGCAAAGCUAUUAGAGAAAUUGGCAGAUGACUAACAUGUAAGGACUUGAUUAUGUGAUUUUCUCCUUAUAUAUGUUUUGGCCAUUUUAUCCUUCUCCUUGGUUUCUAUAUCUUAUUUUUGUAGUGUGGAAAUGGUUGUCAUGAUUUUUGAGGCGAUCAAAAACUAUUUGUGUGAGUUUGUGGGUUUUUGUAACACCCCGCAUUUUUUGGGGUUAGAAUUCAAACUGUCAUUCCUACGCGUAUAAACCCGAACCCAAUGAUUCUUUGGAAAUAUAUCUGUGUUUAUCAAUUCUAUAGUAUUGUGAUACCUUUGAAUAUGAAUUAAGGUCACAAAUAUCUCCUAACUCUAAGACGAGUUAGAGAACGUUUCUUUCGAUUAAGUUUUAGUGAACAUUCAGCUUGGGUAAAAUUUAAAUGACCAUUACUCCCUAUAAAUAAUGAAUUAUGUGGCCUACUAUAUACCAAAAUAAAUAUCUUUGAGUCCCCAUUCCAACGCAACUGGUCUCACCUUAAUCCGUUAUCGAAAUAGAAAGUUAUGCUCAUUUUACUUUGAAGUAUCUUUCUGUCAACUAAGUGAGGACUACGCUGAUAAGUCAUCACUUAGGUGAUGAAUAAGCUAAUGCGACGUCAACUAAGUGACAAGACAUCAGCUCUAGUUCUUAGCCUAGGAUAGAAAGGGGAAAUUCUAGCCUGAAAAUGAUGACUUAGGUGAUGAGCCAUCACUUAACUGUUGGGUCGUCGACCUUAGUCGUCAACUGAAGAAUUUCUAUAAUUUUCUUUGGUUUCUUUAGGGGUAUUUUGGUAUUUUUUACACUCCAAAAGCUGCCCCCACGAAUUUAAAUCAUAUCCUAAGCGUUAUAAUCUAUCUUCUAUAUGUUUUUAACAUCUCAAAUCCUCUCCACUCUCAAGAACAAAGAGAAGUUAAGGUUUCCUUCAAGGCAAGAAUUCAAGCCUUUCAAUCCAAGAUUUUGCAAGAAAAGUAUCAAGAUUAGGGUUCUAUUCUUCAACUAAGGAACAUAAGGUAUGUAGGGCUGUCCUAAAAACCCUAUGGGCAUAAGUUAUUGUUUUAUCAAUCUUUUGAAAGAAUGUUAUGAUGUUUAUAACAAGGGUUUAAACAAUUGUUUUGAAUAGCCAAUCAUGAAACCCUUUUCAAUGAUAUAUAUAUUGUUUUGGUCUGGAGGCCUCCCCUUAAAAUUGAUUCUUACUCAUGUAUAUGUAAUUAUGCAUUUUGUCUUUUGCAAAGAUUAAAUCAAAAGCAUGAAUGAUGAAACUCCUCUCAUGUUAUGAUACCUCUUGAUUUCACAUGUUAUGGAUUAUUCAAUUACAUGUUUUGAAGCAUGAGAUAAGUGUUUUACUACUCUUUUGAACUUGAUAUUUAUUAUGAAUUGAAGAGAGGAUAUUUUCUUAUUUAUAAAUGUUCAAGGUGAUGAUGCAAAGAGUUGCAUGGAUUAGUAUAAAGGAAUUGAGCAUUAUAUGUUAAAAUAUUAAAAAGAGAGAAUCUUUGAAUAAGUUUUGCACAUGUUUUGAAAUAAGGACUCCCUUGCAUUGUCUAAAUAUUUUUGGUGGUCAAAUGACUAAGUUGGUUGAAAAAUCUAAAGAGAAAAAUUGUAUGGAUUAGAUAUACGACUUGCAAGUCUUAGUAUGGCGAUACUAAAUAGAUGAAUGCCAUAGCAGAUUCAAAACAGACUAAAAUAUAUAUUUUAUUCAGAUUUUAAAUUUAGAAAGAUACAGUUUAAAAAAGGUUAAAAAUAAGUUUAAAGAGAGUUAGAUGGUUACCCAAAGAAAGUACUAGUUGAAAUACUCAAUGCUAGAAAUUGUGAUUUGCCGACACAAGAUUAUCGUACCCUGCUUUAUGAUCUUGUGUACUUUGAUUCAUGUAAUCCCAAAUUGGGACUAUGGUUAGGAGCCUGCUUUAUAAUCUUAUUCACUACCAUGACAUAUUGAUUUGAUUAGGGAUUUUGGUACCCUACUGUGUGAUCUUGUGUGUCUCUCUUAUAGAUAAUUCAAUCCUUACAACAAACUUGGAUUGGGGCUUAGCAGUCGAGUCAAGGACGGAUUCCAUAUAGCCCAUGGAAUUACAGAUUAUAGGGUAUAUCAUCUAGCUUAGAAGAAUAACAAAGAGUAGAGUCAUGAUUUCAAAAAAAUGUUUUGAAAUUAAUCAAAUUAUUCCCAUGUGUUUUCAAAUAUUUUAAGAUGAUAUGUUUUAUGAAAUACUCUCACCUAUCUUAUAUAAAAAUGUUUUUUGAUUUUGGAUUGUUCUGCGUACUAGUACAUUUGUAUUGACACCUAUAUUUUAGGAUUUGAGGAUUAGUCCCAAGGUCCCGUUAAGCAGUAGAUCAUUGUCAGAAAAUUGAGAGUUGGUGAGCCUCUCUUAUUUUGAAAGGCCUUGUCUCAUGUGAUGAUUUCAUGUUUUUUAGUUCAUGGCCCUACCAGGGGCCUUGUCCCAAUUUUAGACAUAUGUUGCUUUCAGUUAUCAGUAGAGAUUUGUAGACUUGUAUAGAUAGUUUUGAGUUUUGUUAAACUUAUGUCGUCUUGUUAGUUUUUAUAAACAAAUGACCCUAUUUCUAUUUGUUUUGUUUCCACAUUUUAUAGUUUCUAAAUUAUACAUAUGAUUGUCAGUUAGAAGGGUUAUCAGGCCUUCAUUUUUUGGGAUGGUCAUUACAGCCUGGGCCUCUAUUCGGGUCAUGAAAAACUUGGUAUCAGAGCACGGUUCAUAGUCCCAAGGUGUCUGGAAAGUUGUGUCAAGUAGAGUUUUGCUUAUGGGUGUGUUGUGACCACACUUAUAAUAAGAAGGCUACCGGGAAAUUAGGAGUUGCUUCUUAUUAUUUCCUACUCUAUCUCGUCCUAUAGCAUCAUCCAUAUGAAAGUUAUCCAAAUUCCUUUCUUAUUCUAAUUUCAUGAGCCAUGCCUCAUUGUCGAGGCGAUACAAGUCUAAGAGUCUAACUCUCCUAGCGAUAUGGUUCUCUUUGAUUGAGUUAUCCAUAAAGUUACGAGAUAGCACAAUGACUUGAGAGGAGUCCAUUAGUUCUUCAAGGUGUAUUAAUUCGAGUGUAUACCUUUAUCCUGAUGAAAUUAUACUUUUCAGCCUGAGGUACAAAGUAUAUUCAGUCCCCUUUCAAAAUUCUUGUUGUAGAUUUCAUGCAUAAGGGUAAUGAUGUGUAGUAGAAUGUUGGAACUGUAUUCCCACCCAAGUAGUAGUAUAUGUUAAAGUGUCAUGACCUAUUAGUAGUGAGAUGGUCUAGAAGUUGGUAACAUGAAGUCACAAGGUUAGCAGUCAGAGUGAGGGUGGCUUUUACAUAAAUAAGUAGUUUUAGUUGUAUAAUCCUUUGGUUGAGGGGUGGUUUUUCAUUUUUUUGUGGUUAGCUAAUGUUAUAGUAAGAUUUAUAGAUUGUAUGGUAGUUUGUGAAGGAGGUAGUUUGUGAAGGAGGUGUUUGGCUAUGAUUAUUAUUGAUUCAAAUUAGGAAAGGAGCCUAGAGUAGAUAAUUAUGGUGUUUAUAGAAAUCAGGUAUAGGUUGUGAAUGGAAAGGGGUAAAUUAGUUAAUAUGUUAUGGGUAGAGACUCAUUAGUGUUUAUGGAAUUUAGUGAUAGUGAGAAUGUAUGCAUGGGUAAGAAAAAUUAAUGUGAGAAGGUAUAUAGUUGAUUUUGAGGUGUAGUAGUAAUGUCAUAGAGAGGACGUGAUUGUAGGUAGUAGUUAAGUGAAAUUCCCCAACUUGAUGGACUUGUAUAGUAUAUAGAAUUCUUUAUUGGUGGAACUCGAUUUAUCGUAGACUAUAGGCUUGAACUUUAGAUGUGGGUUGUGGUGAAAAGGAUAGCAAAUUAAGAUUAAUGAGGCAUGUUGUGGGACUAAGUAGUAGGAUUAAUAAAAUGUGUGCAAUAGCCUAGAUUGGCAACUUGUGGAAUAAUGAGUGUACAAUUGUGAUGUAUAUGUAUACAUGAGAACAAAAGUAAAAUGAUGAGUCGUGGUUGAAUCAUUAAGUGGAUAAGAGAGUGGGUAUAUAAGAAUAAGUUGAACCCCCAGGUAGCAUGUUGUUAGAUAAGGUUUAUAUUUGUAUAAGUGUCUUGUGUACCUAGUUCACAUUCUUGAAUUUUUUAGUAUAAAAAAGUAUAGGGAUUUAUUGUUUGGUGUUCAUUAGGGUUGAAUUGAGGAAAUAUGGGUAGUCAAUGUAAGCUUUGGGUAUGGUUUUACAAAUUUUUUAAGUUGUAAGUAUGUGAGUAGAGGUCUAAUGCUAGCAUUUUAAGUAGUGGAGAAUGAAUUAUUAUGUGAUAAGGAGUGUGGAUGUGUAUGCUCAUGAGAGUUUGAGUUGUAGGUGAUGGCUACAGAGGCUAGCGAAAGUUAAAAGUAGCAUUCCCGAAAAGCAAUGCCUUCAAAGAAUAACUAUCAAGGAAAGUUUAUCUUUUAUAUGUAUGGUGAUACCCCAUGGUGCUGAGUGUUGUGCUUUUAGAUUUAAUAAGAGGUUAUGUCCUCAAGCCUAGGAUUAUGACAUUGAUCUAAGGGGGAGAUGGUGAAUUAAGGUCAUUCUUGAAUUUUCUCAGUGUGGCAGAUUGUGGGGAAGAGUCAUGAUAAACCUCUUCCUAUCCAAGCAUAUUUCUUCUACUUCAAUUUAAGAGGUAAUUUAACCAAUAUUUUAUGUGUUCAAGUCCUACCUAUGUCUAAGGUAUGAGUUCUCUAUCUGACACAUGUCAUAUUCUGACCUCCAAAAUAAAAUCAAUAAUGUCCUUCAGUGAUCCAAUAUUCUAAAUAUCCAAGCUCUAUGGUAUGUUCCUCAUGAACCAUAAAUUUGUGUCCCAAAUCAUGCUUAGAUCUAAGGAACUAUGUUUUCAUAUGUUACCGAUUCAUCUUAUGUCGGGAUUAGCCAAAGUGAUAAAGUUUUUGCAAACUCAUGACCAUCUCAGCUCUGAAAAAAAGAAAAUAAUAGCUCCAAGUAAAAGUCCUUGUCUAAAUCAUUGACUUCAUGAAUUCUACCAUCAUGUUAUACAACUAUGAUAUAUGCGCUUAUGUUUCUCACUAUGGUCUAUCCUAAGGACUUAUGCUAUGUUGCGUUUAUGUUAGAGCAUCUCUCUACUUAUGAUCCAGACACUUGAUAUAUGAAACACUUCCUAAUAGUAUCAUAUCUUCACCUCAUGUUCCACAUAGAUUAUAUCAACAAAUAUGGGUUAUAAUUAAGUAGUGUUUCUCCUAUUCGUGAUGCUUAUGCUUGGGUCCCUUAAUAACCCUCGGUAUGUUAGUGUGAUGGUGGUUGUUAAAGCGUAGUAGUGUGUUAAGUAGGGGAGUAGAUGUUCUUAAAGGUGAAAAUUUUGAUGUGAUUUCUUGAGCUAAGAUUAUAGGAGAAGGGGGAAGAAGAAGAUGAACUUUCAUUACGUGAAAUAGUUAGGAAGAAGAUAUGUGGUGAAAAAUCUUUGUGAGAAUCAUUGAAGUUGCUGGUUUUAGUGGGGAUAUCUAUAAAAUGGGUGUAGUAGAGAUAGGCUUUAAUGUUGUGAUGGACGGAUACUCAAACCGAUGAGCUAUGUGGUUAGUACUCCUCGAUAUAAUACCUGAGGUUGUUUGAUUCUAGUGAUAAGAUGGAGAGGUAUUCUUAAAGGAAUGUAGAGUAUAGAGUACCAUAGUUUAAGCUAGCACUUUUUUAUUCUAGGUUAGGCUUCAAUGUGAGAGUUCGAUGCAGUUAGACUCAAGCUCUUGCAGUUAUGUAUUUAGUAGGGGGAACUAUAAUAUUGAGAUAUUGAAAUGUGGUAUUCAUAGCUGAAAGAAUAGUUAAAGAGCGUUGCAAAAUUUAAAGGCUUUUUAGAACUAUCAAAUAAGGUAGAGAAUGUUUCUAUUCUAUUUCUAUGUCCAACGAGAAUCUCAGUUCAUGUCUUGCACAAAUCUUAAUUAGGCUGAGGAUUCGUAGGAAAAUUCAUGCCUUACAAUGUUUUGAUCAUGUUUCAUAGAAUAAAUGACUAGAUCAUGUCAAUGUAAGGUUUCAUUAGAGUUUCGUUAGCUCAUGAUUUGUGCUUAUACAAUUUACUUGGUGAUGCCAUAAGGCUCUUCUUGAAUGUUUAUGUAUAUUUCAUUAAGGAAAAUAAAAUUCCUAAUGCGAGAUUACAUCUAUUAUUCCAUACUUCUAUAGCUUCAACAAAAUCAUACCCAUCAUUAGAGGACAAAUGAUUCCAAGUGGGAGAUAAUGUAACACCCCGUAUUUUUUGGGCUAGAUUCAAACCAUUAUUCCUAUGUGUAUAGAACUGACCCCGGUUGUUUAUAUAUGUGUGAUGAUCAAUUUUAUAUUGUGGGGAUACCUUUGAAUAUGAAUUGAGGUCACAAGUAUCUCCUAACUCUAAGACGAGUUGAGAACUUUUCUAUCGAUUAAGUUUUAGUAAAUACUUUAUUUGGGUAAAUUUCAAAGAACAUUAAUCCUUGUAAAUAUUGAUUUACGUGGCCCAAUCUAUAAUAAAAGAAAGAUUCUUGAGUCCUCUUUCCAACACAACUGGUUUCACCUUAAUUCGUUAUCAGAGUAGAAAGUUAUGCUCAUUUUACUUUGAGGUAUCUGUCGGUCAACUAAGUGAUGACUACACUGAUAAGACAUCAAUUAGGUGAUGACUAAAAUGACGAGCCAUCAACUAAGUGACGAGCCAUCAUCUCUAGUCGUUAGCCUAAGACAGUAUGGAGGAAAUUCAAGACUGAAAGUGAUAAGUUGGGUGACAAUCCGUCACCUAACUGAUGAACCGUCAACCUUGGUUGUCAACUGAAGAAUUUUUACUAUUUUCUUUGAUUUAUUUAGGGGUAUUUUGGUCUUUUCUGCACUCCCAAAACCUCCCCCAUGAAUUUAAAUCAUACCCUAAAUGUUAUAAUUCAUUUUCUAUCAGUUUUUAACAUCUCAAAUCCUCUCUACUCCCAAGAACAAGGAAAAAUUAGGGUUUUAUUCAAGGCAAGAAUUCAAGCCUUUCAAUCUAAGAUUUCCAAGAAAAGUGUCAAAAUUACGGUUCAAUUCUUCAACUAAGGAACAUAAGGUACGUAGAGUUUUUCUAAAAAAUCUAUGGGCAUAAGUUAUGGUUUUAUCAAUCUUUACAAAGCAUGUUAUGAUAUUUAUAACAAGGGUAUAGUCAAUCAUGAAACCCUUUUCAAUGAUAUAUAUAUUGUUUUGGUCUUGAGGCCUCCCCUUAAAAUUGUUUUUUACUCGUGUAUAUGUAAGUAUCCUUUUUUUAUUUUGCAAAGAUUAAAUCAAAAGCAUGAAUGAUGAAACCCCUCUCAUGUUAUGAUACCUCUUGAUUUCAUAUGUUAUGGGUUGGUCAAUUGCAUGUUUUGAAGCACGAGAUAAGUGUUUUACUAUUCUUUUGAACUUGAUAUUGAUUAUGAAUUGAAGAGGUUUUUUUUUGUUUAUAAAUACUCAAGGUGGUAAUAGAAACGUUAUAAAGGAAUUGACCAUCAUAUGUUGAAAUAUUGAAAAGGGAAAAUCUUUGAAUAAGUUUUGCACAUGUUUUGAAAUAAGGACUCUUGUAUUUUUUAAAUGUUUUUGGUGGUCAAAUGACCGAGUUGAUUGAAAAAUCUAAAUAAGAACAUUGUAUGGCUUAGACAUACAAGUUACAAGUCUUACGUGGCGAUACCAAACAGAUGAAUGCCACAGCAGAUGCAGAACAGAUUGAAAAAUAGAUUUUACUCAGAUUUUGAAUUCAAAAAAUAUGCUUGUUUAGAGAAGGUUAAAAAUAGGCUUAAAGAGAGUUAGAUGGUUACCCAAAGAAAGUAUAAGUUGAAUGACACAAUGCUAGAAAUCGUGAUUUACCGAUACGGGAUUACGGUACCCUGCUUUAUGAUUUUAUUUACCUUAAUUCAUGUCAUCCCAAAUUGGGACAAUGGUUAGGAAUCCUGCUUUGUGAUCUUAUGCACUAUCAUGACAUAUUGAUUUGAUUGUUGAUUUUAGCACCCUGUUGUGUGAUCUUGCGUGUCCCUAUUAUAGAUAUUCUAAUCCUUGCGGCAAACUUAGAUUGGGGGCUUGGCCACCGAGUCAAGGGAGGAUUCUAUAUAGCCCAUGGAAUUGCAGAUUUUUGGGUGUACCAUCUAGCUCAGAAGAAUAACAAAGUGUAAAGUCAUGAUUUCAAGAAAGUGUUCUAAAAUUUAACAAACUAUUCCAAUGUGUUUUCAAAUAUUUUAAGAUGAUAUGUUUUAUGACAUGCUCUCACCUUUGUUGUAUAAAAAUGUAUUUUAUUUUUGGAUUAUUUUGCGUACCAGUACAUUUGUAUUGACCCCUAUAUUUUAGGAUCUUAGGAUCAGUCCCAGGGUUCUGCUAAUCAUUGUCUAAUGUUGGGAGUUGGUGAGCCUCCCUUAUUUUGAAAGGCCUUCUCUCAUGUGAUGAUUUCAUAGUAUUUAGUUCAUGGUCUUACCAGGGGCCUUUUCCUGAUUUCAGAUAGAUGUUACUUUCAGUUGUCAGUAGAGAUUUUACUGACUUGUAUAGAUGGUUUUGAGUCUUGUUGAUCUCAUGUCGUGUUAUUAGUUGAUAUAAUUAAAUGACAUAUUUUUGUUUUUUUUUAUUUUCUGCAUUUUAUAGUUUCUGAAUUAUGCAUAUGAUUGCCAGUUAGAAGGGCUCUUGCGCAUUCAUGAUUCGGGAGGCUCGUACAGCCAGGGCCUCGAUUUGGGUCAUGACAUUUUUAGAGGGUGAAAAGACCUUGUAGUUGAUUUUUGUCAAUACUUGCUGUUUUGUGUAUCAGAUGGCAAAACAUGCUGCGCCGACAGAUUUGAAACAUCAAUUUUAGGUUGGUUGCAUAGUUAGUUUGAUUUAUUGCUCUUAGAUUUAAUUUUGACUCUUAGUUUGAAAAAUUGUGAAAUUGGAUCUCAAGGGUCAAUUUUGUGAAAACAACAUCUUUUCAAAAAUCUGAUAUCAUCAUUGAGUUCAAAACAUUAAAUUUAGUUAAUAACAUAUUUUAUUUUCCUUCAUGGGAUUCCUAAUGAAUUUCGAAGUGCUGAUCUACAGCUUUGCAAUUUGGCAAAGUUGUUGAUGCAGCUGUAUCUAGUUUGGCCAUUUUACUGGCCAAGGGACCACUAAAAAGGUAGCCGCUUUAGAGGCCAAGGCCCACUUUAGAGGACCCUUCAAGCCCAAGAAACUACCAUUAAAGCAGAGGCUUGACUUCUUUUGUGGUCGUCGCUUUAGUAGUAGGUGACCGCUUUAGUGGCCCACUCUUUUUGGGCUGGACCAUUUAAGCGAUCAACCCAUACUUAAGGCGUUAUUUAACCAUUUUAGUGGUAGUCCUAGGAGGAUAUAAAAAUCCUCCUUCUCGAUUUUUCUUUUUCUUUUUGAGACUUUGAGCUUCGGGUUAUGGGGACUUUGGACUAUUUCUUUAAUUUUAGUUCUUGGGUAAGCUCAAAAUCACUAUUUCAAUUCUUUUACUUUAGUUAUCAUUAUUUAAUCCCCAUUUUAAAUCUAUUUUCACUUGGGUUUUCUCUUAUAGAUUCCUUUAAUCAUGGGAUAAGGUGUUUAUAAAUAAAAAUUCUGAUUUUAAUUUUUAUAUAAAAAAAACAUUUCGGGGGUAUUGUUGUCUUUCUUUUAAUGCAUAGAUUUUAUAUUUAUAUUUUUUAGUUGAUUCCAAGGCCGUUCAAGAGGGAAUAGCUCCGCAUGAAGGAUUUUAGGCUUGGAUUUUAUCAUCACGGGGUAGGUUAUAACUUAACAGUCCUUAGACUAGACUGGAUAAUUAAUAUUAUAUAAAAGCAUGCUAUAUGGGUAUGGGUAAUAAUCACUGAAAUAAUAUUGUAACUGUUGUGCUUAUGUUGGGGGUUAUAUUAUUGUCAUUGAUGGUUUGAGAAGAUAUUUACUGCGUGUGGCCUGUGUAGGAGCCUUAUUGGAUAUUAUUGUCUUUGUGAAUGCAUUUAAUUGCUUUCUUUAUGAUAGAAAUACCUAAGUUGGAGUUAAUGUGAUGUUAAUGAUGUCUUACUUGGAUUUUUCACUCUAAUGAUCCAUUGCUUAUACAAAAUCAUGGUUGGUUGAUAUAUUGAGUGGAUUUUGAGCUUAUGUGUACAUGUAUUAAAUGGAUUUUGAGAUCCUUAUACUGUUUUGGUUGUGAUCACGCAUCCUCAUAUCAUACAUACAUUUAUAAGAUAUUGGUACUAUUAUGGAAACACUAAUAUUGAAAGAAAUGAGGUAUUUUAGCAAGACCCUCUAUUGUAGCCUAUAAGUCGAAGAAGAGAUAUGGAUAUUGAGAUUGGGAUUGAGUAUUAAGAUAUUAUAUGGGUUGUGAACCCUCCAUGGGUCCUUCCUGGAAGUGCUGAGGCUCAGUAGGUGUACACAGAGGUUAUGCGAUAACCUUAGUCACAUCAUAUCAUCAUUAUUGUAUUUCAUAAAUCAUGCACUUUUAGUUUUGUACUUUUAUGCUUAAUUUGAUGCAUAUCGAUUUUAUUUCCUUUAUGUACCUUUUCUCUUGCUUAUGUUCCAUAUUUAGAAUUGUUAAUGGAUACGGUGUGAGCUAUCAUUUGGGAUAUUUUCUUAUUACAGGUGACAUUCUCAUAAUAUAUGUUUAUGUAUCUUAUUUUCUACUUUGCUCAGCUAACUUAUAAUACCGACUGAGUACAAGUGGAUUGUGCUCAUCCCUAUUGUUCCUUUUUGAUGUAUGAAUACACUAAGCGACAACUGAGUUCAUAUGGUGAUGUAUGACACUUAGAGGUAUUGACCGCUCUACGCCUUUAGAGUUGACCUUAGACCUCCUUCCUAUCUAGUAUAUGUCUUAUUUUGUAUUUAGAGUCAGACUUGUAGUUUCUUGGGUUUUUAAUUGUAUUUUCAGUUUUGAGUUAUAUCUAGAUUGUUCUUAACUGUGAAAUAAGGUUUUGCGAUGGUUUAUGGUACUUUUGUUAUUUAGACUCUCUAUUAUUGUACAUGAAUGGUUCAACUUUUCUCUAGAAGUCUUACCUUAGGAUUUAUGUUAUGAUUUUCUAUUACAUAUUAGUUUUGGUGAUUGGUUUUCUGUCAAGGAUUAGCUGUGAUAAGUGCCAUCUAACCUGAGUUUUUGGAUUAUGACAAAUUGAUAUCAGAGCAGCCAGAUUCAUUGGUCUCAUUAAUGUAAGAAUCAGGUAUGUAGUUGUAAUGCCCCGUACUUUUCUAAGCUAGAAAGCGAACCAUUGUUCGUAAAUAUGAAACCACCAAUUCUGUAAGCCAAAUUUGGACACAUGAAUUACCAAGAGUACCCUGGUUAUAAGAGAGCUUAUGAUGUGUUAAAUGUGGUUAUAUGAGUCACUUAAGGUAGUACAAGCUAAGAGUUUCAAAAUCCAGCAAGUUUUAGUGUUUGAAUUUUCAAGGGUCAUUUUUGAAUGAGGAUAAGUUGAUAAAUAUGUGGUAUUUCUGCAUAUUUAUACCCACCAACUUAUAGAGAAUCGAAUUAUCUUUCUAACGAUACCAAUUUCAUCAAAAUCCGUCACUCGAGCAAGGAGUUAUGGCUUUGCAAAGUAGAGUGCGUCAUCUAACCAAUCGCACAUGGCUACUAGAAUAGGUGUACGAUAAGCAAUGCGGCGCAUACCUAAAUGUAUGCGAUAAGCAAUGCGGCGCAUACCUAAAUGUGUGUGAUAAACAAUGCGGCGCAUACUUAAAUAUGUGCGAUAAGCAAUGCGGCGCAUACGUAAAUGUAUGCGAUAAGCAAUGCAGCGCACACUUGAUGUUUCAGGUAGUAAAAACUCUCCGUUUUGAGUUAUUUUGAGGGCAAUUAAGUCUUUUGGCACUCCUUACACACCCCUAAACAUAAACCUUACGAAUUUAAUAGAAUCUAAACACAUCAUAACCCUAUUAUCAAUCUAAGUUCAUCAUCCAAGAGCACUAAAGGAGAAAAAUAACUAGGGUUCAACGAAUCCGUUACCAUAAAGGUAUAUAGGGUUUCCAACAAGAACAUCCUUUCAUUCUUGUGCCCAAAAAUUUGUAUUAUUUUAUGAAGAUACAUGAUUUUUCUUGUUUAAUUAUGAAUUUGAGAUGGAAACAAUUAUUAUCCUAUAUUCUUGUUCAAGAAACUAUGAUGUUUUUGUGAUGUCUUAAAGAUAAAUAUCUUGAGUUUUGAUAUUAAUAUCAUGUUUCAAGUUGAAUUUCCAUAUUUUCAUAUGAAUUGUACUUAUUUUCUAUACAAAGUAUGAAUCUUGAAAUGUUUUGCUCAAGUGUUGAUAUAUGGGACUUAAACCCUCUUUGAGAUUAUGAUCCUUGGUGAAGUAAUGUGUUAUACACACCUUGAUAUGUGAAUAUUUGACCUUUUGGUCUUGAAAGAGUUAUUUUUGAACUUGAAUGAGAAAAGAAAUCCACAGUUGAUUUAUUAUGAAAAAGGGGUAGCAUGUGGCUCCCAAUAUGAAUUGUUGAAUUGUGUUGUUAUGGAUUUGCUUUUGAAAUGAUCUGAGCUAAGUUUGGAAGUAGUCUUUAGCACCGAGUGAGAGGUAUAGCUGUGAUUGGUACUUCCCUAGAAUUAUGUGCCCCAAUAGGAAAUGAGCCUAAGGCUGAUUGAUAUGGUGAUCACUAGUGAAUAAAAGAUUAAGGUCCUACUCCGAUGGCAAGGAUAGGACAGCUCUCCCCAACAUGGGUUAGACGUUGGACUCUAUGUAGCUCACAUGGAUUAUGUUGGUUGUAAGAGACUCCCAGUUUGCGUGUGUAUUCUUCUGAUUGAGAUGAAAAAUGUAAUAGUUUGAAAGUGUGAGUUGAGAAAGUUAUCGUUUUUGAAGAAUUAGAUGAAUAUUUGUAUAUCUUAAAGAGAAUUGUUAUGAAAGAUACUCAUUUUAAUAACUUAAAAAUGAUUAUGAAAGUGAUUGGGAUUUACUAUGAUGACUCACAUGUUUUCACCGAUGUGUUUUACUCUAUGGUGAUUAUGAUGAUUUUAUUUCGAGCUAUGUGAGUCUCUUAUUAUAGCAUGUAUAUUUUCCUAUGAAUAUUUAUGAUAUAGGACUUUUAUGAACACCUGCAGACACCCUUAUAUACUCGGUCCGUAUUCCAUAGUACUGACCCAUGUAUUCGUAUGUGGACUAUAUUUUCCCUAUAAUAUAGGUUCAGGUGCUCAUUCCCAGGCUUGACGUGAUUCUCCGAGAACAUUGUUCUACAUUUUCUGCAGUGGUGAGUCCUCAUGGUUCAAGGAUUGGUUAUUUCAGAUUUCACUCUUUUAUUUUGAGUUAUUAUUUUAUUCCCGGAUGUUAGGGUUAGUUGGGGUCUGUCCCAAUGGCUUAGUGUUAUACAGUUUAGUAGAGGAUUGUUAGACUAGAUGGUUAGAUUGAUCAGUCUUGUGGAGAGGUCAUAUUUUGUUACUUUCUGCAUCUCUUUCAUCUUGAAUUAUGAUAUUAUGGUGAAUAUCUUGAUAUUUGAUUAUAGUAAUCCUAUUGAUGAGUGUUGAAUGGUAUGAAAAUGGCUCAAAGGGUUAGCUUGGGGCUACUUGUAGCCUUAAGCAUUGUGUGACGCUUCGGGACCCAUUUUCAGGGCGUUACAAACUUGGUAUCAGAGCCUAAGGUUAUUGGAGUCCUAGGGAGUCUGGCAAGCCACGUUAAGUAGAGUCUUGAUCAUCGGUGUGUAGCGCGCCACAUCUAUAAGCAAGAGGCUCCGAGAUGUUUUAGGAAAAAAUGUUAUUUCUUUCUUUCAGAAGUCCAUCAUGCUUAUAGUUGUUUCCUUUCAGCUAUUAAUUCGUGCUCUCCUCUUUUAGAAUGGGCCUUCUCGCCGAGCUAGAAUAAAUAACGAUGGUGGACAACCCCAGCCUGCUGACCCACUAAAUGAAAAUGUGUCCCAUGCUGAAUUUUGAGCAGUCUUUCAGGCACUGGCCCAAGCUGUCACUGUGAAUAUUCAAGCUAAUCUAGCCCUGGCUGUACAGUAGCAGGGAGGUGAAUCAGCUGCUGUGAGGAUCCAUGACUUUAUGCGGAUGAAUCAACUAGAAUUUUAUGGGUUCAAGCCAGAUGAGGAUCCACAGUUGUACUUGGAGAAGGUGCAAAAGAUUACACAGGUGAUGCAUGUCCCUGAGGAGCAUAGUGUAGAGUUGGUAGCAUAUCGAUUGAAAGACCUUGCUUAUGAUUAGGUAGUUUCUUGGAGGAAGGGUAAGGUAAGGGUGUUGCCCUUACAUCUUGGCAAAAGUUCCAGGAUACAUUCCUAGAUAAGUUUUUACCUUUAGAGAUGAGAGAGGAGAAGGUAGAGGAGUUCAUGAACUUGAGACAGGGCUCUAUGACUGUUAAAGAGUACUGUCUGAAGUUCAAUCAGUUGGCUAAAUAUGCUCCUUACUUAGUAGUUGAUAAUCGGGCCAGUAUGAGUAAAUUUAUGACAGGAGUGUCUAGCUAUAUUAUUAAGGAGUGCAGGUCUGCUAUGUUAAAUAGUGAGAUAAAUCUUUCUAGGCUGAUGACUCAUGCCCAACAGAUUGAAGCAGAUAAGAUCAAGGAGAGGAUAAAAUGAGAGAGAAUAAGAGAGCUAGGUCUGAGCAGCACGGACAGGGUCAGACUAGAUUACAGGGAGGGAUCAUCCUCAGUUUCAGAAUCGUUCAUCUACACUAGCACCAUCGUCAGCUAGUGCUCCCGUACCUAAGGGUGGGCAGGAGCAAGGUAGUAGGUCAUAUGCAGCCAGGUCCCAGUAGAGUGUUGGCAGUAAGCCAAAUUAUCCUUCGUAUCCUAAGUGUGGUAGGACCCACCCAGGUGAGUGUUGGGGUGAAAAGAAAGGUUGUUUUGGGUGUGGUGACUUGGGUCACAAACUUAGGAAGAGCCCACAUGCCAGGCAAGGGCACGUGAUAAUCGCCCUCAGACUCAGACUGCUAGUGCUCCAAUUCAGGUGACUCACCAGCCCCAGCUCAGGGCGCCUCUUCUAGUACUGCUGGCGGUCAGUGCCAAAAUAGGUUCUAAGCUUUGCCAUCUUGGCAGGAGCAGGAGGACUUUCCCGAUGUUGUUACUGGUAUGCUCCAUAUACUUCAAUUUGAUGUCUAUGGUUUGUUGGACCCUGGGUCCAGUUUUUCAUAUGUUACACCUCUAGUUGCUAUGAAUUUUGAAAUGAAUCCUAAAAAUAUUCCUGAGCCUAUCUUAGUUUCUACCCUAGUGGGUGAUUCGAUUGUUGCCCAGAAAGUGUAUAGAAAGUGUCCUAUUAUAGUCCUUCAUAGAGUCAUGCUGGCUGAUCUGAUUGAGUUAGACAUGGUGGAUUUCGAUGUUAUUCUAGGUAUGGAAUGGAUUCAUUCUUGUUAUGCCUCUAGAUUAUUGUACCCGAGUGGUCAAGUUUCAGUUUCCUGAUGAACUUGUGUUUGAGCGGUCUGGGAGUUCUGUAUCUUCCAAGAGUCAUUUUAUUGUGUGUCCUGAAUGUUGAUGAUCUGAGAUAAAGAAUUAUGGCUGAAGCAAAUGAGGUGUGACUCCAGUCAGUUAGCAUAGUCACUGAGUUUUCUGAUGUCUUUUCGGAAGAUCUCCCAAGGAUACCUCCUGAUAGAGAGAUAGAGUUCGGGAUCGAUCUUCUUCCCGAUACUCAGCCCAUUUCUAUUCCUCCUUACCAUAUGGCACCUGCAGAACUUAAGGAGUUGAAAGAGCAACUCAAAGAUCUGUUAGAUAAGGAUUUCAUAAGGCCCAGUGUUUCUCCUUGGGGUGCUCCUAUUUUAUUUGUGAGAAAGAAAGAUGGUUCCUUGCGUAUGUGUAUUGACUAUCGCCAGUUGAAUAAAGUCACUGUCAAAAAUAAGUAUCCUCUUCCUAGAAUAGAUGAUUUGUUUGUCCAGUUGCAAGGUGCAAGUUACUUCUCAAAGAUAGAACUUCGAUCCGGCUAUCAUCAACUCAAGUUAGGGAGUGUGACACCCCAAAAAUAGCUUUCUGAACUCGCUAUGGUCAUUUUGGGUUUCUUGUUAUGUCCUUCGGGUUAACUAAUGCCCCGGCAGCUUUCAUGGGCCUCAUGAAUCGAGUGUUCAGACCAUAUCUUGACAUGUUUGUUAUCGUAUUUAUAGAUGAUAUACUGGUGUACUCCCGUGGUGAGAAUGAACAUGCAGAUCAUCUCUAAAUUGUCUUGCAAACUCUUAGAAACCAUCAAUUGUUUGCAAAAUUCAACAAGUGUAAGUUUUGGUUGAGGUCAGUUGCUUUUCUGGGUCAUAUCAUUUCUUCCGAGGGUAUUAGAGUUGAUCCCCAAAAGAUAGAAGUUGUUAGAAACUGGCCUAGACCUAUCUCUCCGAUUGACAUUUGAAGUUUCUUGGGUCUAGCUGUCUAUUAUCGCCGUUUUGUUAAAGGUUUCUCCUCUGUAGCAUCUCCUAUGACCCGGUUGACCCAAAAGAAAGUGAAGUUCUUGUGGUUUGAUUCUUGUGAGAAGAGUUUUCAGGAGUUGAAGAUUCGACUCACUUCAGCCCCUGUUUUAACUUUGCUUGAUGGUGUUGAGGGUUUUGUAGUAUAUUGUGAUGCUUUUAGAGUUGGUUUGGGUUGUGUAUUGAUGCAGAAGGGUAAGGUGAUAGCUUAUGCUUCUAGACAGUUGAAACCCCAUGAGAAGAAUUACCCCACCCAUGAUCUUGAGUUAGCUGCUAUUGUGUUUGCUCUAAAAAUCUAGAGAAACUACUUGUAUGGUGUUCACGUUGAUAUUUUCACCGAUCAUAAGAGUUUGCAAUAUGUAUUUACCAAGAGGGAGUUGAACCUUAGGCAGAGAAGGUGGUUAGAGCUGUUAAAAGAUUAUGAUAUGAGUGUGUUGUACCAUCCGGGUAAGGCCAAUGUAGUGGCAGAUGCCCUAAGCAAGGUGUCUAUGGGUAGUGUUUCGCUUAUUGAAGAGUAAAGAGGUGGCUAGUGAUGUGCACCGUUUGGCUAGACUGGGGGUUAGGCUGUUUGACUCUGCUGAAGGUAGUAUAUGGGUGCAGAGUAGUUCUGAAUCCUCCUUAAUUUUGGAAGUAAAGGAGAAGCAAAACUUAGAUGCUAGUUUGGUCAGAUUGAAAGAAUCAGUCAAGGACCAAAAGGUGGAGGUUUUCUCCCAAGGGGGAGAUGGUGUGUUGAGAUUGUAGGAUAGAUUAUGUGUUCUGAAUGUUGAUGAUCUGAGAUAGAGAAUUAUGGUUGAAGAGCAUGGCGUGCGAUAUUCUAUUCAUCCUGGUGCCACCAAGAUGUACCGUGACUUACAAGAAAUCUAUUAGUGGAGUGGCAUGAAGAAGGAUAUAGCAGCAUUUGUGGCUAAGUAUGCCAUGUACUAGCAGGUUAAGGUAGAAUGCCAAAGACCUGGUGGUAUGAUGCAGGAGUAUUCCCACUUAUAAGUGGGAAGAGAUAAACAUGGAUUUUGUGACUAGUUUACCUCCUUCCCGACGCCAUCAUAAUUCCAUUUGGGUUGUUGUGGAUAGAUUAACUAAGUCUGUGCACUUCUUACCUGUGCAUAUUCUUAUACUGCUGAGGACUACACUAGAUUGUACAUCCGGGAAUUAGUCAGAUUGCAUGGAGAGUUCCCUUGUCCAUCAUUUCAGAUAGGGUUACUCAGUUUACUUCAUAGUUUUGGAGAGCUUUUCAGAAGGGUCUUGGUACCCAAGUGCAUUUGAGUUCUUCUUUCCAUCCGCGGGUAGAUGGUCAGGCUGAGAGGACCAUCCAGACCUUAGAGGAUAUGUUGAGAGUGUGUGCUCUUGACUUUAAGGAGAGUUGGGAUGAGCAUUUACCGUUGAUAGAGUUUGCUUACAAUAAUAGUUUUCACUUUAGAAUUGGCAUGGUUCUAUUUGAGGCUUUGUAUGGAAGGAAAUGUAGGUCACCCAUAGGUUGGUUUGAAGUGGGUGAAGCUGUCGUGAGUGGUCUUGAUUCGGUCUUUGAGGCUAUGGAAAAAUUCAAAGUGAUUAGAGAAAGAUUGAAAACUGAACAGACUCGUCAAAAGUCGUAUGCUGAUGUAAGGAGAAGAGACCUUGAAUUUGAAGUUGGUGACUUGGUGUAUUUGAAUAUUUUACCUAUGAAUGGAGUGAAGAGAUUCAGGAAGAAGGGGAAACUUAGUCCCCAUUAUGUUGGCCCCUACAGAGUUCUUAGCCGUAUUGGUAAGGUAGCAUAUGAGGUUGAGUUGCCUUCAGAGUUAUCUUGCGUUCACUCUGUCUUCCAUGUCUCCAUGCUUAGGAAACACGUUGGAGAUUGUGUUGUUGUAGAUCCUUCAGAAAACCCUAAUAUGCAAGAUAGUCUUUCUUUUAAGGAAGUUCCUAUUGAGAUUUUAGAUCACCAAGUCCGAAUACUAAGGAACAAAGAAAUUCUGUUGGUCAAGGUGUUAUGGGAAAACCAAUCUGUUGAAGGUGCAACUACGGAAACUGAGAUGGAUAUGCGAUCUAAGUGUCCGCACUUGUUUUUCGCAAGACCCGAUCAAACCGAAGGUACCAUUCUACUCUAAAUCAUUUCUUUUCUAUGCAGAGUUGCAGUAGUUCAGUAGUUAUUUUAUACUAUUCAGCUGUGAUUUCAUAAGUCAUGAACUCCUUAUUGUUUCCGAAAUGUACAAUCAAGUAGAGGCAAAGUUAGCAAGUUGCUUCAGCUGUGUACCCUUCAUUUUCUCUUUACUCUUAGUAUACCUAGCAUCAUUCGAGGACGAAUGUCCCCAAGGGGGAGAUAUUAUAAUGCCCGUACUUUCCUAAGCUAGAAAGCGAACCAUUGUUCGUACAUAUGAAAUCCCCAAUUCUGUAAGCCAUUUUUGGGCACAUGAAUUACCAAGAGUACCCUAGUUAUAAGAGAGCUUAUGAUGUGUUAAGUGUGGUUAUAUGAUUCACUUAAGGUAGUACAAUCUAAGACUUUCGAAAUCCAUCAAGUUUUAGUGUUUGAAUUCGCAAGGGUCAUCUUUGAAUGAGCAUAACUUGAUAAAAAUAUGGUAUUUCUGCAUAUUUCUACCCACCAACAUAUAGAGAAUCAAAUUAGCUUUCGAACGAUAUCAAUUUCAUCAAAAUCCGACACUCGAGCUAGGAGUUAUGGCUUUACGAAGUAGAGUGCGUUGCCUAACCAAUCGCACAUGGCUACUAGAAUAGGUGUGCGUUAAGCAAUGCAGCACAUACCUAAAUGUGUACGAUAAGCAAUGCGACGCAUACCUAAAUGUGUGCGAUAAGCAAUGCGGCGCAUACUUAAAUGUGUGCGAUAAGCAAUGCGGCGCAUACGUAAAUGUAUGUGAUAAGCAAUGCGGUGCACACUUGGUAUUUCAGGUAGUAAAAAACACUCUAUUUUGAGUUAUUUUGAGGGCAAUUAAGUCUUUUGGCACUCCUUACACACCCCUAAACUUAACCUUAUGAAUUUAAUAGAAUCUAAACACAUCAUAACCCUAUUAUCAAUCUAAGUUCAUCAAGAACAAAAUCUCAGUUUACUUCUCAAGAAUCAAGAAGUUAAGCUUUGAAUUCAAAGUUCUCUACAAGGAUUCUUUCAAUAAAGCUUAAAGGUCCAAUCUUUCAACAAAUCCAUUACCAUAAAGGUAUGUGGAGUUUUCAACAAGAACAUCCUUUCGUUCUUGUGCCCAAAAAUUUGUAUUAUUUUACGAAGAUACAUGAUUUUACUUGUUUAAUUAUGAAUUUGAGAUGGAACAAUUAUCUUAUAUUCUUGUUCAAGAAACUAUAAUAUUUUUGUGAUGUCUUAAAGAUAAAUUCCUUGAGUUUUGAUGUUAAUAUUAUGUUUCAAGUUGAAUUUCCAGAUUUUCAUAUGAAUUAUACUUGUUUGCUAUACAAAGUAUGAAUCUUGAAUAUUUUGCUCAAGUGUUGAUAUAUGGGAUUUAAACCCUCUUUGAGAUUAUGAUCCUUAGUGAAGUAAUGUGUUAUACACACUUUGAUAUUUGAAUGAUUCGACCUUUUGGUCUUGAAGAGUUAUUUUUGAACUUGAAAGAGAAAAGAAAUCCACAUAUUGAUUUAUUAUGUAAAAGGGGUAGCAUGAUGGCUCCCGAUAUGAAUUGUUGAAUUGCGUUGUUGUGGAUUUUCUUUUGAAGUGAUCUGAGCUAAGUUCGAGAGUAGUCUUUAGCAAUGAGUAAGAGGUAUAGCUGUGAUUGGUACUUCCCUAGAACUACGUGCCCCCGUAGGAUGUGAGCCUAAGGCUGAUUGAUAUAGUGAUCACUAGUGAACAAAAGAUUAAGGUCCUAAUCUGAUGGUAAGGAUAGGACAGCUCUCCCUAAUGUGGAUUGGAUAUUGGACUCCAUUUAGCUCACAUGGAUUAUGUCGGUUGUAAGAGACUCCCAGUGUGUGUGUGUAUUCUUCUGAUUGAGAUAAAAAAUAUAAUAGUUUGAAAGUCUGAGUUGAGAAAAUUAUCAUUUUUGAAGAAUUUGAUGAAUAUUUCUAUAUCUUAAAGAGAAUUGUUAUGAAAGCUACUCGCUUUGAUGACUUGAAAAUGAUUAUGAAAGUGAUUGGGAUUUACUAUGAUGACUCACAUGUUUUCACCGAUGUGUUUUACUCUAUGGUGAUUAUGAUGAUUUUAUUUCGAGCUAUGUGAGUCUAUUACCAUAGCAUGCAUAUUUUUCCUAUGAAUAUUUGUGAUAUAGGACUUCUUGAACACUUAGAUACACCCUCAUAUACUCGGUCCAUAUUCUAUGGUACUGACCCAUGUAUUCGUACGUGGGCGACAUUUUCCCUAUAAUGUAGGUUCAGGUGCUCACUCCCAGGCUUGACGUGAUUCUCCGAGCACAUUAGUCUAUAUUUUCUGCAGUGGUGAGUCGUCUUGGUUCGAGGACAGGUUAUUUCAGAUUUCACUCUUUUAUUUUGAGUUAUCAUUUUAUUCCCUAAUGUUAGGGUCAGUUGGGGUCUAUCCCAAUAGCUCAAUGUUAUACAGUUUAGUAGAGGCUUAUCAGACUAGAUGGUUAGAUUGAUCAGUCUUGUGGAGAGGUCGUAUUUUGUUACUUUCCACAUCUCUUUCAUCUUGAAUUAUGAUAUUAUGGAGAAUAUCUUGAUAUUUGAUUAUAGUAAUCUUGUCAAUGAGUGUUGAAUGGUAUGAAAAUGGCUCAAAGGGUUAUCUUGGGCCUACUUAUAGCCUUAAGCACCGUAUUAUGCUUCGGGACCCAUUUUUAAGGCGUUACAGUGGUAGAGUCUCACAGAUUGGUACUUAGAUGGCCCUAUCUAUCUUUUAGAGGCUAUAAGAUAUCUUUAGAAAACUUUACUUAGAUGGAUCUAUCUAUCUUUUAGAGGCUAUAAGAUAUCUUUAGAAAACUUUCUUAUUUUUUCCUUAUUAUGCGUGUUUUUCCAUAACCACAUUCUAAACUAUGUUCACUCUUUUCUACGUAGAUGGUGAAAACUAGAUCCCAUAAGUCUAAGGAUACUGAGAUAACAUUUAAAGAGAAAGCCCAAUCUAGGAGAUGAGUCAGGGUUCGUGGAUGGUCUUAAGGUUGAGGAAAGGCAUGUGGAUCUACUCCUGCCAGAGGUUAUACUAGGGGGUUCUCCUCUAAGCCCGAGGUUGAGCAUGCUAGAGAUAUGGGGCCUACUCAGGUUCCAUAGAGUACUACUACCUCAAUCUUGAAGUUUUUAUUGAUUAGUUUGAUAAAUCAUCUAGAGAGUGUUCCUUUAAGUGCACCUGGUAUUUCUCCUACUUCAAGUGUUAUACCUCUAUCUAUAUAGAGACUACUUAUGGUGUUCUUUCAGUCCUGAGUGUGGUUCCUUUACUAGUAUCCAAGUAUGGUAUUUCGAGUUUAGGGGUUUAGCCUUUAUCUAUGUUACCUCCUAGGUAGAAACACAACCUGCUAGGUUACUAUAUCUUCUUUUGAGAACCAGAAGAGGUUUGACAGAUUUACUCACUUGGGUCUACCCAGGUUUAGUGGUAUUGUGGGAGAGGAUGCUUAUGAGUCUUUGAUUGAUUCUCGGGAGAAGUUGUAUAACCUUGGAUUGCUUAGGUUAUAUGAAAUUGCUUGAACUACCUACCAACUCAGAGAUAUAGCCUGAGAUUGGAGAAGGUAAUUUGUUAGUUGAAGACCUCUUGGUUCGCCAGAGAUAACUUGUGAUCAGUUUGCUGAGGUCCUUUUAGAUAGGUUUGUGCCAUACAAUUUGAGGGAUCAAAUAAAAGAGAAGUUUGAUCACUUGGAGCAGUGCUUCAUGACUGUCACCAAGUAUGAGGCAUAUUUCUAUGCCUUGUCCAAAUAUUAUAUUACUAGUAUUGCCACUGAGUCAGAAAAGAUUCAAAAGUUCAUGAAAGGAUUCAAUAAUACUUUUCAGGUUGCUACUGCCUAAAUGGUGGUGUCAAGACAUGUCAUUUCACAGUGUGGUGGAUCAUGCAAAGAUGAUUGAGGCUAUUCUUAAAUAUCCACAUGGAGACAUCAAGAAGGUGCAUUUCCAAGGUGAGUUCAGUGUUCACACCCCACAAGGCAGAGAUUUUAAAGGUUCUUAUAGGUACCAUGGUAAACCAGUGAAGGCGGCUCUACUGGGUUUAGAUAGUAGGUCUUUUGGUUCAGCAACUUUGGGUAGUCGGGCAUUGUCCCAAGGUGGUUAUUUUAGCUCAGUCGUACCUCUUCAAAUUGAGUCGAGCCACAGAAGUUGCUAUGAAUGUAAUGAGUUGACCAUGUUGCCAAGGUUUGGCUUCUUCAUGUUUUCAGGCCUACUCCUAUCGAUAGUUAGGGGUGACACUCAGAGUUGUAGAGGUGCUACUAGGGGUGUGCAAGGCAGAGGUAGUGGUGGUCGAGGGACUAUUCAUUCUUAUACUAGAUUAGACAGUAUAUGCUAUACCCGCCAGACUUGAGGCAGAGCUUUCUGUAAUCAUAGGUAUCGUCCCUAUUUGUUUUAAAUCUGCAUCUAUGUUACUUAAUUUAAGGUAGACUUUCUCCUAUGCAUCUGGAUAUUUUGCUUUAGGUUUUGAUUUCAUGUGUGAUACCAAAUUAUGUAUCUACCCUUGUAGGAGACGUUAGUGGUGGAUUGGGUGCACCGAUCUUAUGUUGUGACCUUCAGAGGCCGUGGCACUUAGGUAGAUAUGAUCAUCCUAGAUAUAAUAGAUUUUGAUAUCAUUUUGGGUAUGGAUUGGUUAGCUCUGUAUUAUGCCAUUCUAGACUGUUAUGUUAAGAUCGUGACUUUAGCUUCAUCAGAUGUGACAAGGAUAGCUUGGAAGGGUAUGCUUCAUUCGGGUUCCAAAAGAGUUAUAUCCUUCCUUUGGGCUCUUUGAUUGGUAGAAAGGGGGUGUUUGUCCUAUUUGGCCCAAAUUCCUGACACUAGUGUUGUUUCACUGCCUCCUUUAGAUUCUAUCUGUAUUGUUCAUGAGUUUGUGGAUGUCUUUCUGAUGGAUUUGCCUAGUAUGCCACCGAAUCGUGAUAUUGACUUUGUUAAUGAUUUCAAGAUAGGCACUAAGCUUAUUUUUAUUCCUUCGUAUAGGAUGGCUCCAGUGGUGUUGGAGAAACUGAAGGACUAGUUGCACGAAUUAUUGGAUAAGGAAUUUAUAUGACUUAGUGUAUCACCUUGGGGUGCACCAAUCUUGUUUGUAAAGAAUAAGGAUGGGUCAAUGCGUAUGUGUAUUAAUUAUCGAUAGUUGAACAAGGUGAUGGUUAAGAAUAAAUAUCCUCUUCCUCGUAUUGAUGAUUUUUUUGAUCGACUUUAGGAUACUUUAGUAUUUUUAAAGACUAAUUUAAGGUCCAAGUAUUACUAGUUGAGGAUUAGCACUUUAAAUAUUUCUAAUAUAGCCUUCUAGACUUGAUACAGUUAUUAUAAGUUCUUGGUCACGUCUUUUGGGUUGACCAAUGCUCCAUUCGCAUUUAUAGAGUUGAUGAACUGGUGUUUUGACUAUAUUUUGACUCUUUUAUCAUUGUAUUUAUAGAUGAUAUCUUAGUUUACUCUAAGAAUGAGGCCGACCAUGAGGAUCAUUUGCAGAUUGUACUUUAGAUAUUGAGAGAUGAGAAGUUAUAUGCUAAGUUCUCCAAGUGUGAGUUUUUGUUGGAGUCUGUCUCUUUCUUGGGUCAUGUGUGACCAAGGAUGGUUUUAUGGUCAAUGCGGCCAAGAUUGUAGUGGUUCUUGAUUGGGCUAGGCCUACUUCUCCUUUUGAGAUUUAUAGUUUUGUUGUCAUAGCAGGCUACUAUCAAUGCUUAGUUGAGGGUUUUUUGAUCUAUUAUGGCUCCUUCGACCAAGUUGACUUAGAAAAAGAUUUUGUUUUAGUGGUUGCAUGAUUAUGAGGCAAGCUUUCAAAAUCUUAAGGAUUUAUUGACAUUAGCUCUUAUCUUGACUUUUCCCAAGAAGGGCGUGGGUUUUACCAUCUUCUAUGAUACUUAUGGUAUUGGGUUAGGUGUUGUGUUGAUGUACGAAAGUAAAGUGAUUAUGUAUUCUUCUUAUCAGUUGAAGCCUUACGAGAAAAAUUACCCUACACAUGAUUUGGAGUUGUGUACGAUGGUAUUUUCUUUGAAGUUAAGGAGACAAUAUUUGUGUGGAGUCCAUUGUGAGAUUUUCUAGGAUCACCGUAGCCUUCAAUAUUUCUUCACCCAGCAAGAUCUUAAUAUUAGGUAGCAUUGUUGGCUUUAAUUUCUUAAGGAAUAUUAUCUUACUAUUCUCUAUCAUCCAAGAAAGGCUAAUGUGGUUGUGGAUGCCUUGAGCAGGAAGUCGACUAGUACGGGUAGCUUGAAACAUCUUUUGACCUAGGAGAGGCCUUUGGUAUUAGAGGUUUAGUCUUUGGCUAAACGGAUGGUUAGGCUUAAUAUUUUGAUACCUGAGUGUGUUUGGAAUUUGUGGAGCCUAGGUCUUAUUUAAUGAAGUAAACUAGAGCUCAUUAAUAUGAUGAUGUUGGUUUAAAAGUGAUCUGGGAUAAGAAGUUGAAUGGUGAGUUUGUGUGUUGAGAGUAGGUGAUUGGGUAUGAUUGAUCUUGGAAGAGGAUCAUUGUUCUAGGUACUCCAUUCAUGAAGGAGUGACCAAGAUGUAUCAUGAUUUGAUACAAUACUACUAGUGGGGUAGUAUGAGGAAGGAUGUGGCAGGCUUCAUAGAUCAUUGCCUAUGUUAUCAACUGGUUAAGUCUAAGUAAUUGAGGCUUGAUGGUUUGCUUUAGAGAUUACCCAUUUUUGAGUGGAAGUGGGAAUGGAUCACUACAAACUUUGUGACUGGGUUACUUCAUACCUCUUAUGGUUCUAACAGUGUUUGGGUUAUGUGGAUAGAUUGAUUAAAUCUGCUCAUUUCAUCCCAAUUCAGGUUUCUUUUAGAGCUGAAAGGUUGGUUUGUAUCUAUGUUCGUUAGAUUUAAUCUACAUGGUGUACCAAUGUCUAUUAUCUUAGAUAAAGGUUCAGUUUUCACUUCUCUCUUCUAAAAGGCUUUUUAGGAGGAGAUGUGUAGACGGGUUCAUCUUAGCAUAACUUUUUACCCCCAUACCAAUGGUCAGUCAGAGUGGACUAUUAAGGUUUUGGGGAAUAUGCUCCACACUUUUAUUAUGAACUUCGGAGGUCAGUGGGUGAAACAUUGAGCCUUGAUGGAGUUUGCAUAUAAUAAUAGCUACCAUUUGACUAUUGAGAUGAAAGCUUUUGAGGCUUUGUAUGGUAGGCAUUGUGGCUUUCGUAUUAGUUGGUUUGAGGUUUUUGAGGUUAGACCUCGAGGUACGGACUUAUUUUAUGAGUCUGGAUAGAGUUUGAGUCAUUUAGGAUAGACUUCGAGUGGCACAGAGUAGGCAAAAAUAUUAUGUAGAUCAUAGACUUUGUGCCUUGAGCUUUAGUAUUGGUGAUUGAGUGUUCCUUCGUGUGUUUCCCAUAAAGUGUAUGAUAAGUUUUGGGAGGAGGGGCAAGCGCUGCCCUUGGUAUAUUGGGUCAUUUGAGAUCCUUCGAACUAUUGGGGAUUGUCACUACCCAAUUUAUAAGUCAUGAUGGAACAUACUAAAUUUCGCCAGUAGGUAUGCCAAACCAUAACCCAAUGCUAACGCAAUGGGUUAAUUCGGUAGGAAAUGCCCAUCAUAGGCAAAAUUCAAGAACACAAUUUAUAAAUAAGAAAAAUGUUUAAAUAGAUAAAACAGUCAAUACAAGAUACCAUCGCAUGACCAGUAGAGCCGGUAUAAGAGCAUCAAAUGAACAUAAGUCAACUUUAAAUGUUUUAGAAUAGUCAACAACAUCUGUCUCAAGACAAAAGACUAAAUAUAAAGAUAGAGGGAAAUAGGUGAGUCGAACUCCAAGAGCUCACCCUAUCUCCGAAAAUCAAUCACUAAAUGAACGUCGAUCAACGGCUGCAACUAGUACUCAGAUCUGCACCACAAAUGUACAAAAAUGUAGUAUUUGUAACAAAAUAAUGGGUACUCAGUUGGCAUCAUCAAUUGACUGAGCUAAAUCAUGGCAUAAGUAUGAUAAAAUGCAAGAUAACAUAGCAAGUCUAGUACAAAAAUAAACCUGAAUCAUCUCCAACAUCACUAUACAUAAUAAGUAAAUAAACUGGAAAUAUAAUAUAACAAAAGACAUUAACACAUUCCAAUAUCACUGUGCAUAGUAAGUAAACAAUGCGGAAUAAUAACUUAUCACAAAGCAUCACCAUGAACAAACAUAACUACAAAAUUGGCUCCAAUACGCCAAUUGGUGUGGAAUAGUAAAUAACUUAUACAGACUCCCAUACGCCUUGAGAGUACACUCAAGGAAAGAAGAGAGCAAUAAACCAUUCAUUAUAACUAACCUUCAUCGUCAUUUAACCAUCAUUCCAUAAUUAUCAUCAAUAUGCCAUUUACCAACAUUAUCACAAUUUACCAACAUUUCAUAAUACUACCAUUAUUUAGCAACCUUAUCAUAGUUACUCACUUUCAACCAUUUAUUAUCUACCAUCUCUUAUUAACUAAUUCACUUGAUUACUAGUCAUCAUUUAACAACUAUUCACCACAUAUCCGCUAAUCACAAUUUAUUAACUAGCAUCAUUUAUUAACUAGUCAUCAUUUACCAACUAAUCCUCGUUAUUCAACUAGUCAUUAUUAGUAACAUAAACAAUACACACCACCAAUUCUCAUUUAUCACUAAUUAUAAACUAUACCACUUCAUAAACACUUAUCACAUUCGGGCCAUAACCAGCAUCCCUAAUAUAAACAUCAUACCGAACUACAUAUAAACAUAUACAAUUAUAUAAUAUCCAUACAUAGGGUAUAUCCAAACUCAAAUCGAUACAUAUACACAUAGGUACAUUAAUAGAAUCAUCCUCCAGCCUUGUCGGGCAUCAAUAUAUUAUCAUAAUCAUCCUCCGACCUUAUCGGGUAUCUAUAUCAUCAUGAUAUCCUCUGGCGUUGCCGAAUAUCAAUAUAUAUCAUCAUAAUGUACUUUGAUCUUGUUGAGUAUCAAUAUAUCAUCAUAAUAAUUCUUCAGAUGCAAAGGGUAUGAAUAUCAUCAUAAUAUCCUCCGACCUUGCCGGGUAUCAAUAUAUAUCAUCAUAAUGUCCUCCGGCCUUGCCGGGUAUCAAUAUAUCAUCAUAAUUAUUCUCUGGCCUUGCCAAGUGUCAAUAUCAUCAUUAUAUCCUCCGUCCUUGACGGGUAUCAAUACAUCAUUAUACUCAUCCUCCAGCCUUGCUGGGUAUCCAUAUCAUUAUAAUAUCUUUUGGUCCUACCGGAUAUCAAUAUAUAUCAUCAUGAUCUUUUAGAAUUCAACCGGGUAUAUAAUCAAUGCCAUAAGUGACAGUAUAGUCAAGCAUCAAGAUUUCUAGCAUAAUUAAUAGAUUUAUUUUCCAUAUAGUCAAUAAUCAUAUCUUCUAGCAAAAAUAAUGCAUAAUUACUAACGUCAUCAAUAAGGAUUCUUUAUAACAUGAUUAUUAGCAUAAUUGUUUAGCAUGAUCGUAAUCAUAAGGAAUAUCAUGAGCCAUAACUAAUCAAUAGUAUAUUAAAUGGAUUAUCAUUAGCAUAAAAGGUAGCUUAUCAAUAGCUUGAGCAAUAGAUAAUUCAUGGCAUAAUCUAUAGCUUAUUCAUAACGUAGACAACAAUCUAAUUUAUGGCUUAAACAUCAUAGUCAAUGGCUCAUUCAAUGGUACAUUCGGUAGUCCAAUCAAUAGCCAAAACAAUAGUAUAAUCAAUAACUUGUCAUAAGUUUAACUAAUAAAUCAAAAAUAUGGCAUAAUUAUUUAGGUGUUACUUCCAAUUUCAUUCAUCAUAACAAACAAGUACCCAGGAUUCUUAAUAUUGCCUCAAAGGGCAUUUUCUAGGCAUUCAACAAACGUAUAAGGGUUUCAAUAGAACUAAUCAUAAAUCUUAACUUAAGGUGGGUCAAAGAGCCCACUUCUAAAUCCCAAAUUACAUUCUAAGACAAAUACUACUUCGGACUAGGCUAAGGUAUCUAAAUCCUCUCUAAGAUGUAUGGCAAGCCACAAUUAGCCCUAAGGCAUAAGUUCUUCUUAAACAUAAAAACUAAGUCAAUUAGUAACUAAGGAAACUUUCCUUAAUUAAGGAACUAAGUUCAAUCUUAUCCUAGGCAUGGGUAUCUAAGGUAUUUUACUUAACCUCAAGCAAUCUAAGGAAUUCUCAUACUAAACAUGAGUAAUGAAGUCCAAUUUUCCUAAGGGAUAAGAAAAUACGCUAAGUAUUUUAACUCUACGGUUUUAAUUUAGCCUAAGCGAUCUAACUAACCCUAGUCUUGUAUUUCAUCAAUCCAACACCUAUACCCAUCCAAAACAUAACAUAAUAUCAUAAGAAUACUAUGACAUAACUCAAUCUAACAAGGGAUAAACCUAUCCUACCUCGAUGCCGAAAAAAGCUCAAUGAACUGCUAAAGUAUUGGUUUUACCUUUCGACAAGCCUACUCAUGAUGCCAACUAUAAAAAACAUAUUAUUCUCAUCAAUAUGAGAAUAUUGAUACCCAUAUUGUAUUAUUGUGCUUUAGGUCUAAAAGUCACUUCAAAAACCCUUGUGGGUCCCACUUAUGGAAAUCAUGUUUCCAAAACCAACCCAACAUUCAUACAAGCUCUAGAAAUAAUUAAACUAAAAAUUGGGUGAAAACCAAAAUAAAUUGGGGGUAAAAUCGAGCCAUUAGGUUUUGGGGGAUUUUGAGAAAGAAAUCAAGAAAUUUUACCAAUAAAAGGGUGAAUUCCUACCUUAAAUUGAAUGAUAAUUGCGAAGAUAAAUAUUAAUCUAGCUUCCCAAGCUCCCACAAGCUUCAAUCCUACUCAAUCUUUCUAUUUAGGGUUUAUGCUCUAAAGAGAGGAGUGAGAAAUAGCAAAACUCGCAGACUAAGGAGCCCUACCCAAUCCAGGUACUCUAGAGUCGCUUUUGCAACCCCGAGUCUUGCAAUUGCGGUACCUCUCUUCUGUCACGCUAGUCGCGAUUGCCACACACCCUACAAGAUUGCAAAUCUCCUUUGCAUGGCGAGUCACGAUUCCAAAGUACUGGUUUCACGGUGCCCUAGAAAACCUGGUGCACCAGAUUUUUCAAGUCCAAAAUGUACUUCAAUCGGGUGCUCGAGAUUCGUUCAGAAUCCCAUAUAUGUAAAUAAACUAUGUACCGAUACCCAAUUCAACGAUUCGAAUGCAAUGGUGCACUUGGAUUUUUUAUUUGGGGUUGUUUUGACCAAAUGUGGAUCCCAUACUUAUAUUUCUAAUUUCUCAAAUUUUCGACCAAUAGGUCGAAAAGUACUCAGGUGCCUUGGGACUUGAACCAAAGGUCUACCUAUCCUAGAAUUGAUAUUUUAGAGCUAUUGGCAUAGUCAUAAUUUUCAUAUGAGAUCGUUUUACUGAAGUUCUUGCUUGGUGCCCAUUUGGAACCAGCAAAGACUUCAAAAUAGGGAAUUGGCUCUAAAAAUUAAAUGAACUAUCCAAUAAUUGAACUGUCACUCCCAGUAAGUCAUAAAUGACUUAGAGCAGCUAUAGUAAAGCUCUAAUAGCGAAAAUGAGUGGAAAUAUAAAAAAUGACCUGAAGGGUCAUUACAAUAUCCACUACUAAAGGAACUUUCGUCCAUGAAAAUCAAAGAUUAGGAUAUACCUAAAGUCUCAAACAGGUAAAGAUAAUGGGUCCGCAUCUCUCUCUCGACCUCUUAAGUGGCCUUCUCCACUAGGCCAUGCCUCUAUUGAACCUUAGCUACAAGAAUCAUCCUAGUGCGCAAUAGCCUGACAUUACUUGCCAAAAUAAGCACCGGUUUCUCUACAAUAGUCAAACACUCAUCCAAUUAGACUGAGUCCCAUCUAAUCACGUGAGAUGGAUCAGGAAUAUAUUUCCACAGUAUAAAGCCCUAACUAGAUAAACAAUAAGAAAAUCUAGAGGUAAAGAUAACUCACAGACUACCCCACUAACUGCGCAAAGAAUUUCAAAAGGUCCAAUAUAUCUUGGAAUGAUCUUGCCCUAUCUCCCAAACUCAUCAAACCCUUCAUGGGCGAUAUGCAGAGGAAUACACGAUCACCAACUCCAAAUCUCAAGGCAUGAAGCCUAUGGUCUGAAUAGGCUUUCUGCCUACUCUGGGCCACUCUUAACCUAUCCUGAAUCACCCUGGCUUUAUCCAACAAGUCCUGAAGCAAAUCCUUACUACAGGGCUUAACCUCGGAAGUCUCUAACUAUUCUAUCAGAGAAGGAAAUUUCCUACCAUACAAAGCCUUAAAAUACACCAUCUUAAUACUCAAAUGAUAACUGUUAUUAUAUGCAAACUAUUCCAAGGCUAAGUGUUGCUCCCAGUGACCUUCAAAAUCCCAAAAAUAGGAUAGAGCAUAUCCUCAAGAACCUGAAUAGUCUGCUCCGACUGACCAUCUAUCUGUGGAUGAAAAGUUGUACUAAGUUCCACCUGAGUACCGAACUUCUCCUGAAAUGCUCUCUAAACUCUCAAAGUGAACACAGAGCCAUAAUCUGAAAUAAUAGAGAUGGGCACACCGUGUAAACAGACUAUCUCUUGAACAUAGAUAUAGGCUAACCUCUCAGCACUGAAGGACAUCUGAAUAGGAAUGAAAUAUGUUGACUUGGUCAAAUGAUCUACAAUGACCCAAAUCCCAUCAAAACCACAGAAAGUGUGAGGAAAACCACUAACAAAAUCCAUGGUAAUCUGCUCCCAUUUCCACUCGAGAAUGGGCAAUCUCUGAGUCAAACCACCUCGACCUUUACCUAUUGACAACAUAGGCAAUGAGCUAUAAUGUCUUCCAUAUCUCUCUUCAUACCACUCCACCAAUAAUAUUCUCUGAAAUCUCUAUACAUCUGGGUUGGUCGGAAUGAAUGGAAUAUCUAGAGCAUUGAGCCUCAUGCAAAAUCAACUGCAUCAAAUUGUUGGAACAUAAAUAUGGACUUAAAAUUACAAAAGACCCUCAAAAUCUGUAAUGCCCCAGAAAAUGGGUCCCAGAGCGUCACACGGUGCUUGAGGCUAUGAGUAGCCCUAAGCUAAAACUUUGAGCCAUUUUCAUUCAGUUCAACACAAAUCAAUGGGGUUUCCAUAAAUAACCCUCAAAUAUCAACAGAGUAAUCAUCAUCCAAGAAUAGAAGAAUUUCAGAAAAAUAACAAAAUACAACUUAUUAGUCAACUCCCAACAUCUAUACUAGUCUGACAAGCCUCUAAGAAAAUCAAUAAAACCAGCGACCCAUUGAGACAUGCCCCAACUAACUCAUACUCAGUUAUCAAAUGUAAAUAAUUUUGUGAAACCAACAUCAGCAGUUAUCAAAUGUAAACAAUUCUGUGAAACCAACAUCAGACAUCACGUCCUCGGAACAUGAGGACUUACCACAAUAGAGGAUGUAGAACACCGUGCCCGAAGAAUCACUGUCGAACCUAGAACUGAGCACCUGAACCUACAUUCCGAGAAAAUACAGCCCACAUCCGAAGAUGUGGGUCAGUACCAUGAAAAGGAACCGAGUAUAUGGGGGUGUAUGCAGUUGUAUAAACAUCAUCAUCAUAAAUAUUUAUAAGAAAUAUGCAGGGGGUAUAAAAGACUUACAUAGCCUGAAGAAAAUCAUCAUAAUCAUGNNNNNNNNNNNNNNNNNNNNNNNNNNNNNNNNNNNNNNNNNNNNNNNNNNNNNNNNNNNNNNNNNNNNNNNNNNNNNNNNNNNNNNNNNNNNNNNNNNNNNNNNNNNNNNNNNNNNNNNNNNNNNNNNNNNNNNNNNNNNNNNNNNNNNNNNNNNNNNNNNNNNNNNNNNNNNNNNNNNNNNNNNNNNNNNNNNNNNNNNNNNNNNNNNNNNNNNNNNNNNNNNNNNNNNNNNNNNNNNNNNNNNNNNNNNNNNNNNNNNNNNNNNNNNNNNNNNNNNNNNNNNNNNNNNNNNNNNNNNNNNNNNNNNNNNNNNNNNNNNNNNNNNNNNNNNNNNNNNNNNNNNNNNNNNNNNNNNNNNNNNNNNNNNNNNNNNNNNNNNNNNNNNNNNNNNNNNNNNNNNNNNNNNNNNNNNNNNNNNNNNNNNNNNNNNNNNNNNNNNNNNNNNNNNNNNNNNNNNNNNNNNNNNNNNNNNNNNNNNNNNNNNNNNNNNNNNNNNNNNNNNNNNNNNNNNNNNNNNNNNNNNNNNNNNNNNNNNNNNNNNNNNNNNNNNNNNNNNNNNNNNNNNNNNNNNNNNNNNNNNNNNNNNNNNNNNNNNNNNNNNNNNNNNNNNNNNNNNNNNNNNNNNNNNNNNNNNNNNNNNNNNNNNNNNNNNNNNNNNNNAAAAACCCCACAUACAUUGAAUGAUGAACUUUAGAUCGAUACUCAUUUUUGAGAUGUUAAUCGUGCCUUUGAAUGAUGGUUCUUGGAGUUCUUGAACUAGGAACUUGGAAUCUUGAAUAAAUUUACAGAAUUAAUGGUGAACUUUAGAGGUUCUUGAAGUUGGAUGUAGGAGCUUAGGAUUUUCUUUUUGAGAGAAUUUGAUGAAAUAUAACAUAUAAUGCUUCUAAUAGGCUUUAAUAUAGGAUUUGGAUGGAUUUUGGGUGAGGGGGAAUGACCAAAACGCCCCUAAAAAAUCAAAUAAUUCUCGAAUCUGUCCUUUGGUGGACUGUUUUGAUAGUCUGAAGCAGAUCAACCAUAACAUUUUACUCCGAUAUCCAAAUUGGAUAAAACCAAUUUCAUUAGAAAGAGAACUCUCAUAUCUUUUCGUUGAUAUAUAGUAUCUCCCCCAGAUCAUUGUUUACGAGUUAUGAUCGUUUGAAGUUGACCCAAAAAUUCACUUUUGAUAGGCUGAAGAAGAUCGACCAUAACUUUUUGCUCCGAUAGAUAAAUUGGAUGAAACCAAUUUCAAUGGAAAGAGAACUCACAGAACUUUCCGUUGAUAUAUAGUAGAUCACCCAGAUCAUUGUGUACGAGGAGUUAUGAUCGUUUAAAGUUGGAGCAAAAAUACGCCAGGCCUCAGUACUUUUUCCUGCACGUUUUAUUGUUUACUACUAUUCACGGUUCGAUCAGAAUGUUCAUAACUCGUCGCUCGGGUGUCCGUUUUGGAUGAUCCAUAUAUCGUUGGAAAGCUUAUUCGAUACUCUACGUAAUGGUAGGUCGUAAUCUAAGAAAUUCCAUACGAAAAAUUUAUAAUUCAUUCUAGAAGAUAGAACCCAACACGUUUACGCAUAAAAUUUCAAUAAAAAAUUUCCCGGGGUAUUACAAAAUCUAUGGUGUUCCUCUCGGUCUCACCGCUCAACACCUGAUCACAAAGGAAGCAAAGCUUACUAUCCUCAAACUAAUGAUCUUGAAUCUACUCAAAUAGUGAGGACCUUGCCUCUACACUAGCCAAAAUCCUCCUAGGAUCUAAAAUAUCAAAACGAACCAUUAAGUUGUAUAAGGACUAAAUAUCACAUGCCAAAAGCUUCUAAGAAACUAAAAUACAAGCCAAGCUACCCAUACUUACUGCCUUCUGACUUAAGGCAUCUACUAUCAUAUUUGCUUUGCUCGGAUGAUACAAGAUGGAAAUAUUAUAAUCCUUACGCAACUCCAUCUAUCUAUGUUGUCUAGCAUUAAGCUCCUUCUGAGUCAUAAGAUGCUAAAGACUUUGAUGAUCGAUGAAAAUCUCACAAUGCACACCAUAAAGAGAAUGCCUCCAAAUCUUAAGCACAAAAACUACCACCGCCAAAUCCAAAUCAUGAUUGGGGUAGUUUCGUUUGUGCACCUUAAGCUAAUAGAAGCAUAAGCAAUAGCACGACCCUGUUGCAUUAUUACACCACUCAAAACAACACCAAAAGCAUCACAGAAUAUAGUGAACCCCUUGCCCUCAAUAGGAAGAGCUAAAAUAUGAGCCAAAGUAAGAAAAUCCUUGAGCUUUCCAAAUCCCAUCUCACACUGCUCACACCAUAAAAAGGAACCUUCUUCAGAAUCAAUCUGGUCAUAGGGGUUGAAAUAGUAGCAAAACCCUUGAUGAACCAUCUAUAAUAAUCGACCAAACCAAUAAGUUACAAACCUCAGUUAGAGAUGUAGGUCUAGUCCAAUAACAAAUUGUUCAAUCUUAUCUGGGUCUACCAUAAUACCAACCUUAAACACCAUAUAUCCAAGAAAUGUCACCAACUCAAGCCAAAUUCACACUCAGAGAACUUGGAAAAAAGCACAUGAUCCCUUAAAGUCUUGAGCACAAUCCUCGAAUAUUGCACAUGCUCCUCUUUACUUCUCGAAUAUACAAGGAUACAUCAAUGCACACAAUCAUGAAGGAAUCCAAAUAAUGCCUGAAUACUCAAUUCAUCAAAUCCAUGAAUACGGUUGGGGAAUUAGUUAACCCAAAUAACAUUACUAAGAACUCAUAAUGACAAUAAAGGUCCUAAAGGCUGUCUUUGGGAUAUCCUCAGGAUGAAUCCUCAACUGUUGGUUGCCAGAUCUCAAAUUAAUUUUAGAAAACACUGUCUCAUCUUGAAACUUGUCAAAAAAUCACCAAUAUGAGGCAUAGGAUUAUAGUUCUUUACCAUCACCGUGUUAAGUUGCCUAAAAUUGAUACACAUACGCAUGGGACCAUCUUUCUUCUUCACAAACAAUACAGGAGCUCCCUAAGGGGAUGCACUUAGUUGAAUAAAACCCUUGACAAGAAGAUCCUAAAGUUGAAAAUUUAGCUUCUUAAGCUUUGCAAGAGCCAUACAGUAAGGUGCCAUAGAAAUAGGUUGAUUGCCAGGCUCGCUAUCAAUAGCAAACUAAAUCUCACGGAUAGGGGGAAUACCAGGUAGCUCUAUAGGGAACACAUCAGGAAACUCAAAAACUACCGGAACAGAGUCAAGCAAUGGACUCUCCACACUAGUAUCAAAAAUAUAAGUAAGGUAAGACUUGAAACCCUUGUAAUAAAGCCUCCUAGCACUAACAUAAGAAAUAAUCCCCAUUGGCUCACGGCUAACAACUCUCUGCCACACAACUAGGGGAAUACUGGUUAUGGAUAAGGUAACAGUCUUGGAAAAAAUAAUUUAUGACCAUAUGAUAGUGGGAACACCGGUCCAUUCCUAGAAUCAUAUGAAAAUCAACCAUAUCCAAAAUAAUAAGAUUAACAUAAGUAUCAACAUCACUAACAAUCACAACACAUGAUUUGAAAACUUAAUCCACUACUAAAGAAUCACCCACGGGAGUAGAUAAGCACAAUGGCACAGAUAAUAAAUCACAAGGAAACUCCAAUCGUCGUGCAUAAUAAGUAGAUUUAUAAAAAUAAAUGGAUCCCAGAUUAAACAAAGCAAGGAAUGAUUAGCGUCUCACCAAAAUCAUAUCUAUAACUACAACAUCUAAAGUAUCAGCCUCAGGUCUAGAAGGUACUACAUAUAACUAACCAUGCCUCCCACCUGGCUAGGCACCUGACCAACUUCCUAUCCUACCUACCUAAGAACCUUCUCGAGUACCCUACAAACUAUCUUUGCGACCAUGAGUGCCACCUCUUGCUGAAGGAUGAACUAAUCUAAUAGGGAAAGCACCAUGAUCUGAAAUAACAAUUGCCCCAUGACUAGGGUGAUUCCAUGAAUAGUGACAAGAAGCUCCAAAAGUAUAACUUGAGACUUAAGCUAAAACAAAACCAACAGAUCUUGCUGACCCAAAAUAACUACCAAGUCUAGAAUAACUAAAUGAUGAACCUCUCAAAUUUUGACCACUAUCCUUACCAGGCGAUCACUAGCACUAGACUGACCUCCGUUAGUAAUCUAAAGUGUUGCUUGAACAGGUCGACUAGGCUGACUAUGAGAGUGAUAGGAUGGCUGUAGUGGAUACCUACUAUGAGAAAUUGCUAUCUCUGGGUUAUAAACUAUGAUAGCUCCCACUGAAUCUGCAUUAAAACCUAGGCCUCUUUUCAUGGCCCUCACGACCCUCACAAUGCAUCUCCACUAUCACCUGAGCAUGAUCCAACACCUCAGCAAAAGAUCUACCCUUAACAACUAAACUCUGAGAAUGCAUACGAAUAGAAAGUAUCAACCCUCUAAUAAUGCACCAAACUCUCUCAUACUCAGUAUCUAGAAUAGAAUUCGUAUGCCUGGCCAACUCAAGAAAUAAGCCUCAUACUAUGAAACUAUCAUAGAACCCUACUCCAAUCUAGAAAAGUGAUCCCUCAAAUAAUCUCUAAGGCUAUAAGGUAUCUACUUCUGUAAUAACAUCUCAGAGAACUGAGUCCAAGACAAAGAAAAUGAUCCAGCUGGUUUAGCAUCCAUAUAAGCUCUCCACCAAUGUCAAGCAACCAAAUCCAACUAAAACGUGGGGUAAUACAUACCAUGAGUCUUAACAAGGCCUAAAUUAUGGAGCCUAUCCUCACAAGCAAUCAGAAACUCAUUUGCAUCCUCACCUGGAGCUUCAGAAAACCUUGAUGGAGCUAAUCUCAAGAAUCUAUCCAACAUCUUCUGCUCCUCAAAGGACACAAAUGGUUGAGCAACCACAGGCUAAGCAACUAUCGAUUGAGAAACUAAUAAUAUGGGAAGAAUCUUAACUCGGGGAGCCAUAGCUACUCGUUAUGUCCCCAUCUUAGUAUCACUCUGUUCUAUAGACUGUGUACCAUCAGACACACCAUUAACUAAACCCAAAAUUUAAACCAAUGAAUCUUUGAGCACUGAAGAAAAAAUAAGCCCUGGUGGAACCUAGGCUAGUUCCUAGAUCAUCAUUGGCUAAGGUGAAAGAAUCACUUGCUCAGGAGUGGGAAUAGAACCUGGGGAAGGUAGGUCAUUCACGAACAACAGUAGGAUCCCUAGGCUCGGUCUUAAGACCCUCAUCUCAUGUAGCGAUAGCAUGUGUCCUGGCCAUCUACGAAAAGUAAAGUCAAGGGAAUGUUCUAUAACAAACUCAAACUCAUAGAACGAUAUGAAUGAAAGAGGUGAUGAACUCCUAAAAAAGACCUAUACCUCUCAAAGAUAGGAAAUGGAUGUCAUCGUUCUGAUCUGUAGGACUCUACUUGACACUUGCACUUGUACCAAUAAUACCAUUGAAACCUACUGAUACAAAUUUGUCACGACUCAAUUUACGAAUCAUGAUGGCACCAACUAAAUCCUGUCAGUAGGUAAGCCAAAUAAUAACCUGAACCUAAUGCAAUGAGUUAGUUCGAUAGGAAAUGCCUAUUAUAGGAAAAACUUAAGAACACAAUUUAUAUAUAAGCAAAGUGUUUAAAUAGAUAAAAUAAUCAAUACAAGAUACCAUUCAUGACCUGGUAGAGCCAGUACAAGAGCAUCUAAUGGAAAUAAGACAACUUUUCAAAUGUUUUAGAAUAGUUAACAACUUCUAUCUCAAAAUAAAAGAAUAAAUAUAAAGAUAGAGAAAAAUGGGCAACUCAAACUCCAUGAGCUCACCCUAUCUCUGGAAAUCAAUCACUGUAUGAAAGUCGAUCAAUGUCGGCAACUAGUACUCGGAUCUGCAAGAAAAAGGUACAGAAGUAAAGUAGGAGUACCAAAAGAAUGGGUACUCAAUAGGCAUUAUCAGCUGGCUGAGAAAAAUCAUGAUAUAAGUAUGAUAAAAUGCAAGAUAACAUAGCUAAGUCAAGGUAUAGAAACAAACCUAAAUCAUCUCUAACAUUGUUGUACUUAAUAAGUAAUUAAACCGAAAAUAUGAUAUAACAUAAGUCAUCAACACAAAUAUGAUAUAACAUAAGGCAUCAACACAUGCCAAUAUCGUCGUACAUAAUAGUAAAUAAUAUGGAAUAGUAACUUAUCAUAAAGCACCAAUAUGAACAAAAAUAACUACAAAUUUUCUCCCAUACGCCAGUUGAUGCAGAAAAGUAAAUAACUCAUCACAAUCUCCUAGACGCUUGGAGAGUACACUCAAGUAUAGAAUAGAGCAAUCACCCAUUCAUUACAACUAACCUUCAUCAUAAUUUAACCAUCACUCUACCAUUAUCAUCAAUAUACCAUUUACCAACAUUAUCAAAAUUUACCAAUAUUACAUAAAAUAACCAUUAUUUAGCAACCUUAUUACAAUUACUUACUAGACACCAUUUAUUAGCUAACCAUCUCUUAUUAACUCAUUCACUUGAUUACUAGGCAUCAUUUAUCCUCUAGUCAUCAUUUAAUAACUAUUCACCAUAUAUCCACUAAUUACAUUUAUCACCUAACAUCAUUUAUUAACUAGUCAUCAUUUACCAACUAAUUCACGUUGUUCAACUAGUCAUUAUUAGUCACAUUAGCAAUACUCGCCACUAAUCCUCAUUUAGCAGUAAUCAUCAACUAUACCACUUUAUAAACAUUUAUCACUUUCAGACUAUAACCAGUAUCCCUAAUAUCAAUGUCAUAUCCAAACUACAUAUAAGCAUAUACAUGUGUAUAAAAACCAUACAUAUGGCAUAUCCAGACUUGAAUUGGUAGAUUUACACAUAGGUACAUCAAUAUAAUCAUCCUCCGACCUUACCGAGCAUCAAUAUAUUAUCAUAAUUAUCCUUUGGCCUUUCUACGUAUUAAUAUCAUCAUAAUAUCAUUUGGCCUUUUCGGGUAUUAAUAUAUAUCAUCAUAAUAUCCUCCGGCCUUCCCAGCUAUCCAUAUAUCAUCAUAAUUAUCCUCAGACCUUGUUGGGUAUCAAUAUCACCAAAAUAUCCUCCGACCUUGACGGGUAUCAAUAUAUGCCAUCAUAAUGUCCUCCGGCCAUGCCGUGUACCAAUACAUUAACAUAAUCAUCCUCCAUCCUUACCAGGUACCAAUAUCAUCAUUAUAUCCUCCGACAUUGUCGAGUAUCAAUAUAUCAUCAUGAUCAUCCUCCGACUUUGUCGGAUAUCAAUAUAUAUCAUCAUAAUGUUUCAUAAUUUAACCGGGUGUAUAAUCAAUGCCAUAAGUAUCAAUAUAGUUAAGCAUCAAUAUUUCUAGAAUAAUUAAUAGCAUAGUUUCACAUAUAAUCAAUAAUCAUAUCUUCUAGCACAAGUAAUAACACAAUUGGUAAUAACAUCAAUAAGGAUGGUUUUAAGAUGAUUAUUAGUAUAAUUGUUUAGAAUGAUCAUAAUCAUAAGCAAUAUCAUGAGCAAUGACUUAUCAAUUGUAUAUUCAAUAACUUAGCAUUAGCAUAAAAGGUAGCUUAUCAAUAGCUUGAGCAAUAGCUAAUUCACGAAAUAAUCUAGAGCUUAUUCAUAGCAUAGUCAAUAAUCUAAAAUAUGGCUUAGACAACAUCAUAGUCAAGGGUUUAUUCAAUGGUACAUUCACCGGUCUAAUCAAUACCUAAAAUAAUAGCAUAAUCACGUCACGACCCAAUUUCUCAAGUAAUCAUAACGCCUACUAUAACCCGCCAGUAGGCAAACCAAACCUGUAGUCUGGAACGGCCAGUGACGGACUACCCAAAGAGAAUAAGGAAGGAAUAGGAAUAGAUGUAAUAAAAGAUCAAUACAUAAUAUAAUCCCAAAACAUAGUGGUAUCAGUAUAAGAGCUUCUACAUAACAAGAAUCCAAAGUGAAAUACAAAUGAAUAUACUAAUCUAACUUAUCUUUGAAUACAACAUAGAGACUAGUCUAGUACAUAAGAGGGAGGUCAGUAAUACUCCGAAUGUUAGGAGCUCACUCUAAGUCUUUAAACUAUGGUUUCUCCAUAUGAUUUAUAUACCAAAGGCGAUAAUGUGCACUCUGAUCUACAGACUACAGAAGUGUAGUAUGAGUACCAAACAUGUGGUACUCAGUUGGCAACUGUCGAUUAAGCUCUAAAGAUAAAGUAGAUAUAUAAAACAUAUAAAUAGAAUGAAACACUACACCCAAAUAUCCAUCAACCAUAUAAGACUGUCAAUUAGAUAAUACGGAUGAACUAACCUAGUCAUGCCCAAGAGACUAAUAUAUUAACGCUUAGGAAGUAGUAAGAAUGCACUAUCUCAUUCCAGCCAUGAUUAGGAAUCUCAACACUAUAUCGUAUAUCACUGGCAUAUACAAGUAAGAAUGGAAAUAAGAUACAUAUAAAGUAUACAAGGGCAAGGAAUGAUUAUUAAAUUUGAGUAAAUAAAGGAAAUGAGGUAUAUAUAGUAAUAUCAUUGCUACAUAUAGCUAAGUAUCAUAUAUAUGUAUAUAUAACAAAGGUAUACUCGUAAUACAACCUAAAUCAUUAGAUUAGCUACUUAAGACCUCAUCAUCAUAGCAAGAGCUAGUGCUAGAAUGCUCAGGGUUCCAAUCCAUAUAUAUCAGGUCAUCAGAUAAUCAUGCAUAGUAAAAUAAUCAUAAGAUAGAAGAGGUCAAAAUCACACCUCAAAUCUCAAUACUGAAUCAAUGAUCAACCUAUCAUAAGCUAUCCAUGACAAAGAUCAUAACAGUGAUAAUAACAAUAUCUAUAACAACGCGAGUAAUCGACUACUCUAAAUACCUAGCCGAGCCUAUCACGUGCCCCCACCACUUCAGUCUCAAAAGGUUCAAUCAACAAAUAUAACACCACAAAUUACAGUCAUCACCCAUACCUAUGCAACCUCCCCAUAUGAGCUGAUAGAUAAAAUUGUAUACUGGUGAUAGACGAUGCACAUGCAAGGAUAAAUGCAACCAAAUCUACAAUACCAUAAUCGGUGAGUAUAUCAAUGUCAUAACAUCAUCAUCAUAGUCGUCCUCCGGCCAUGUUGGGUAUAUAAUUGCCAUACAUAGGGCUAGCCAAACUCAAACCGAUAAAUGUAUACAUAGGCACAUCAAUAUAAUCAUUCUCUGGCUUUGUUGGGUAUCCAUGCAUCAUCAUAACUAUCCUCUAGCCUUGCCAGGUCUCAUCACAUUAUCAUAAUAACCUUCGACCUUGUUGGGUAUCAUUAUAUCAUCAUAAUAUCAAAAUCAAUGUCAAUAAAAUAGAGCAAGCCCCACGAGGGCUAAAGUAAAGAGCAAGCCCCACGAGGGCUAAAGAAAAGAGCAAGCGCCAUUAGGGCUAAAGUAAAUAAAAAUAAAAAGAUAAAAGAGGUAGAGUAUAUUUCUAUAAUUUAUCGUUCGUUAUCAAUGUCACAUUAUCAAUAAGCAUAUGUACAUAGCAUGAAUAUUACAACUAUCAUAAAGUUUACCUAGAAAUUAUAUUAUCAGUACAAUAUCUUUCUCCGUCUCAUACCAGAGAUAUGUAUAUUUAGAUAUAUGAUAUGUGCACAGACUUAAGCAAUAGCUAAAAGGGUGUAAAUCUAUAAGCUUGUUUUCUCAAAGUGAACUUCAGGACUAAAUCAUAAUAAAAGUGUAGAAAUGGUCAGAAACUCUCACAACCAGAUUAAUUAGUAGGAUUAAAUCAUAGAUUGAAAGUUGUCUCAAUCACAUCUUUUAAAACAUCAUUAAUCUCUUUUACUUAUAUGUUAUUCAUCAAGACAGACAUUUAUUAUUAUGAAAAAAUCUAUUUUUAAGGUAGAAAGUGGGUUUCAACCCUUAAUUAGUGACAAUAGUACUAAUAUUAUAAGCUAAUCGAAAUUAUAUCAAUCAUCAAUGCAAUGAUCAUGAAUGUACCAAAUCUAUGUAUGCCAUCACCAGUAUUCAUACAAUGGAACCAUAAGCAUUGAUAUAUCAAAAAGCAACAAUCAUGUCCUUUACAAGAAUAAACUCUUCCCGAAUGGUCAACUCAUAUCAUAACACGGCCCUGGGCUUAAUAAUGUGUCUGGAAUAAUUAUAGCAUCCAAAACAUGAUCUUAGGCCAGUGUACUUAUUCGAAACUCAUAUCAAUAAAAUAUUAGUAAGUCAUCCCAUAUCCAUAAGGAAAAACACAACUAUAAGACAUAAUAUAUCUUAUAAUCCAUAAUUAUAUUUGAGAUCAUCUCACACUAGGAGGAAUAAUAUAUAAUAAGAAUCUCAUACCUAGGAGGUAUAAUAUAUCAAGUAGUAUCUGACAUCUAGGAGGCAUACUAUAUCAAGAAGUAUCUCAUAUCUAGGAAGCAUACUAUAUCAAGAAGUAUCUCACAUCUAGGAGGCAUACUAUAUCAAGAAGUAUCUCACAUCUAGAGGCAUACUAUAAUAAAAAUCUCACCUCUAGGAGACAUACUAUCAAUAAGCAUUUCACAUCUAGGAGGCAUCUUAAAUAUAUAAGUCAUAUGCCAUGACUGUGAGAAAUAUCACCUCUAUAAUCCAAAUGUCACAUCUAUGAGGAAAAUAUCAUAUCUAUAGGCCUAAUAUCAUUCUAAGAGGCAUAAUAUCUCUAAAAGCCCAAUGCCACAACUAAGAGAAAAUAAUAUCUCUAAAGGCCCAAUAUCACAACUAAGAGGAAAUAAUAUCUCUAAUGGCCCAAUAUCACAACUAAGAGGAAAUAACAUCUAUAAAGCCCCAAUAUCAUAUCAAUAAUGAAUAUCAUGGCCAUAAGCCAUUAAUUAUUGGUCGGAGAAAAAUACAUCAUGACUCACCAAGCCACAAAGUAACCUUAUGCUCUCCUUUGUCUCAUUGUUUAUCUCCUAAUCAUUCGAUUCCGCCCCUACCUAAGGCUAGCUCCUACUCCUCCUCCUUCUCCUGACGGAUAGGAUCCUUUAUACUAAUUGUAUACUAGUCUCAACUAUGACUAACAUCCUCCAAUAAGUCUACAUAGGCUAACACAAGUCUUGGCCUAAGGUGGGGCAGAAGAACCCACUUCUAAUCCUCAAUUUCCAUAUUUAGGCAAUCUAUACUCCAAACUAGGCUAAGGUAUCUAGUUCAACUUCUAGAUGUCAAGUAAGCCAUAACUAAUCCUAAGAUUUGAACUUCAUCUAGAAACAUAGGCAUUUAAGUCAACUCCACCUAUAUUACGGUUUCAAGAUAACCACGAUAACUUAAAUAGGGUUAAAUAAACAAGCCAAUUCCAAUUGUAAAACCACAUCCCAAACCUAUCAUUAUAUCAUAUCUGUUCUACAAAUUAGUUCAAUCUAGGGAGAAGGCAAUAGGAUUUAAAAAAGGUAUCAAGUAUUUCAACUUAUGGGUCAAAACCCUCAUCUAAUCCCCAAACUUCAAUUUUCAAUACUAAGUCAUUCUACCCAUAUUCAAACUUAACAUUCACAUUUACACGCCAUAUAUAAAACACAUCAUCUUAUGAAAAAGAGUAGACAAAAGCUACCUCAAAGCCAAACCACAAAUCCUUAAAUCACUCAUCAAUCGCUCGUCUUCUUUUCACAAUCCCAAAAAUGUCAUCACAUUAUAAAAAUCAUAACCUACUAAUCAAUACAAAAAUAAUGAUACCUAUAUUGCACCAUUGUGCUUUGGGUCCAAAAAUGACACCAAAUACCUCAAGUGGGUCCCACUUAAAGAAAUCACAUAUUCAAGGUCAACCCUACAUCCAGACAUGAUAAAGGAAUCAUAACCCUCAAGAAAUAGGUGAAAACCAAGUUAAUUUGGGGCUAAAAUCAAGCACUUAAGCUAUUAGGGGUUUUGGGUCAAGAACCAAGAAUUUCAGCAAGAAAGUGAUUAAAUUUUACCUUAAAUCCGAAGAUAUUAGCGAUAAUAGAUGUUGCUCCCAAGUCACCCACAAGUCUUAGUUUUAUCGUACUCAUCAGGGCUUUUGCUUUCAAGAUAGUAGGUGGAAAUGGGCAAUUUCACGACCUUGGGGCCCUAUUUAUAGCCCUAUCAGGUAUCCAGGUAUUGCUAUCACACACCUAAGGGUUGUAAUAAUACACAGGAUGCAGGAGCAGGUAUUGUGAUCGCAAUAUCUCUUGGUACGAUUGCACCAUCCUCCCCACCACCAGAUAUCAGUUGAAACUUGGAAAUUUUCCAAGUUUCUGAUAAGGCCUCCGGAUUCAUUCAAAAUUUGAUUUAUGCAAAUGAGCUAUGUAACCAUCCUAAAUUUGAUAUUCUGGAUACGAUGACAAAGUUGGAUUUCCAUCCAACGUCAUUUAGACCAAAUAUGGGUCCCACACCCAUAUUUUAAUUUUCAAAUUUUCGACCAAUAAGUCAAAAUAAGCUCGGGUGCAUCGAGGCCCAAACCAAGCCUAAAAUUAAUAUUCUAGAGCUGUUGGAGCAAUCGGAAUUUGCAUUUAAGAUUAUUUUGAUGAAGUUUUCACUCGAUGCCUAUGUAGAACUAGCAAAGGCUUUUAAAAUAGAAAAUUGGAUCUAAAAAUAAAUGAACUACCCGGUAACCAAACUGUCAGUCCCAGCAAGUCAUAAAUGAUUAGGCAGCUAUGGAUAAGCUCUAAUUGCAAAGAUAAGCAAAAAUAUAAAAGAUGACCUAGUGGAUCAUUACAAUAUCCACUACUAAAAGGACUUUUGUCCCCAAAAGUCAACGGAUAGAAAAACCUCAAAAGCUCAAAAGAACAAGGUACUAGACCCUCAUGCUCCAAGCAUGAGUUCCCAGAUAACCUCAUGAAGAGAGAAUUCUUUUGAUGGAUUUUGGCACAGGUAUCCCAUUUCCAACUAGCUCUCUUAUUCCACUUCCCAAAUAGUCAAAACUCAAAUUCAAGCACCAGUUGGCCUCCAACUAAACCAAAAAAGGUUGAUGCACGCAAAUCUGAACUACAACACACUGAUAGCAUCUCGACAACCGCACAAAUCAAUCCAAGGCUUAUCCAAGCCAAAAGUAAAUCAUGGCAUGAGUUAUACAACUUACUCCAAAUUCAAACAUAACCUUAUUUUACCAAUCUAUACUUACUAUCUACACCAAACCAAGAAGAAAAUCACCUAGGACCUGUCUGUGCAAUCUCAUCACAGAGAGCUCGAAGAACUGAAGCUAAUCCAUUAAAAGUCUAUACGGCAAAUAUAGGAAGAAGCUUAUAAGGUGUUAUUUGGGCACACAAAUGAAGAUAAUCAAAGGACACAAACUAUGCCAAUGCUAUAACUAGUCUGUAUGGCAACCAAAACUGUAAUCUAAAAGAUCAAGGCCUAACUAAUCAUCAUUGAAUGAUCUGCUCCAGGAUGUCCCAUCAAUCGAGAAUGAAACCACACUAAAUCUAACUCAAGUAUACUAUUCUUAUUGAGUAUAUUAUCCAAAAUUCUCAAAGAAGACUGAAGACUCAAGGUCAAAGUGUAAAGAACCAAUAAGGUUCAUAUGAUAUCAUUUAAGUACUUAUCAAUAAUAAUCCAAUCAAAGUCGAGAAGACCAAAUAGGUAACCACGAAAUAGGCUCAACCAGUCUAUAAAUGAAAUCCAAACAAAGAUAAAUCUAAAAUAAAGGAUGCACUCAAACUUUACAACUCCAAGAUGAAAUUUCAGCAUCAAGACUGAACUACUCAAUUUUAACUAGCAAAACCAAAUUUUAAGACGGGUAGGCCUUAAUACUCCAAAUCCAUCAUAACUUCCAAAUUGCCAUUCCAAGCCGUUAAAUCCAAACCAAGGUCCAAAAAUCACAUCAACUAUACUAUCUGAAUUAGACAUAUCUGUACUAGAUGAUGCUGAGCCAAAAUUGAAACAUAGCUGAAGAAUAAAUCAUAAUAAAGGAUAAAUCACUGGCUGAAAACACAAGAAAUCCAUCCAUAUUCGCUGGACAUGCACUAUCAAAGCAUAUUUAAGAAGUUCCAAGGCUACAAACCAUACCAGUAAUUGCAAAAACUCUACCAACUCAGUAGAAUAAAACUCAAGUCACUAACCAAUCCAGCACUCAAUCUCGGCAAAGAAUUGCCAUAGGCACAUAUCAUCAAGGAGAAACACUCCACCAAACCUCACUAGGCCGAAUGAACUUUCCUGAAUUCACCCAAAUAAGAUAAUCAUCACUCAAUCCAUCCGUGAAUCUCAUCAUCGAAGAAGAAAAAUACCAAGGUCAAAGUCAAGACCACCACUAGAAAAUCAAGAACUUAAGAUGAAGAAUUUCUAAUUUACUAAUUUAAGAAGCGAUCAAAGGAAAGGCCACCUGCCUCUAUCUCCCUAACUCCACAGAAAAUAAGAAUUACAUCAUGAUAAGAACAGAGCAUUGAAUCUCCAUACUAAUAACAAGGGCCAACCAUAACAAGGAGAUGAAUCUAACAAAUCUAAGAGAUAAAAUCAGGACAUCUCAUUAUCAAAAUCAAACCCACUACCGAGCAAUAAAAUGACCACAAACAAAGAAUGGAUCCAAAAUUGGUUAAGCUCAUAAAUAGGCUAAAUAGAAAGGAAUAGCCAAAGCGAAAACCUUCGCAACCCAGGGGGAAAGUCUAAUAAUCUCCAACUCUAGAUCAGACAAUAUAGCUAAAAUGCUAACUUUAGAACCAUAAAGAACCAGAAAAGGUCAACUUACCUUUGAUAUCACAAUUCUAUCCCGAAUCAAUCUAUCAUAGCUAACUAGGAGGAAAAAUAAUCAACAUCACCUAGCUAUAGGAAAUAAAUCAUCAAAUUAGGCUAUAUCCACUCAAGACAACAAAUAAGAAUUGCAAAGAAAUAGAAUUGUAACUAUAUAACACUAGUCUAUACAGCUGCCCCACAUCAAGUAAUAACAUCAGAUAAUAUCAAUAACCUCAAGUAGUGAUAUGACUUGACCCAAACUAGAGCCUUGUCGUAAUGGGCAUCCCAAGUCCAACAAGGACUGGAGACCACCCCCGUUACCUAACCGAACUGACCCAUGCAUGCCUUGAGUUGGAUUAAUUCCAAACGUAUAACAAGAUAGCAUCAUUGCAUAAUCCAAGACUCUAGGAUAUGCCUAUAUCCGUGAACACCCAAACGAGUCCAACCGUAUAAUACCUAAUUGAUAACCAAUACCAGCCAAACCAUAAUCCAAACCAUAACCAUAUGAGUUCCAUAAUAAUUAUAUAUAAUCCCAAAAUAAAAGAGGAUAGAACAAUGAGAAAUUUAGUCCUACGGUAUUAGCCCCAAUACCAAUGCCAAUACCAAGGCUUACACCAAUUCUGAUCCCGCCCAUACCAACCCAUAGUAGUUCCAUAAAGUCCUUUAACAAAAAAAAUACUAAAAUCUUAUUAGGAUAUGCCACCAACUAUAGCCAAACCAAUAUCCACAAAUAAACCAUAUUAUAUAAAAAUGCCCAUAACAUAAAAUGGAGCCUUUCCAAAAGAUUAAAGCUCACCACUUCAAUCCAAAAGCUAAUCCCAAAAUUUGAUCACUAUGUAGGAGGAGUAAAUGGUCAGUUCCUGCAUCGCAUGGGGAUACAGCUGCCCGAAGAUGGGUUAGCGGGUGAACACUAGAUUGAACUCAGGAUAAUGAUAAGAUAAUUCCAACUAAUAAAACCAAGUAAAUAGACCAUAUGCAUACAAACCAUACAUAUACAUAUAUAUAACCAUGCUGGGAAAGGAAAUCGGUUUUAGAAUGCGUUUGAAACUAUUAACCUAGGUAUGUGUAACUUAACCAUCCUUAACCACCCCGCUAUUAUUGUAAAAUUAUAACUUUUUCUAACUUGACCAUUAUUCCAUUAUUAUUAACCAAGGCUAUUUGUAGUGGUAUCGUCAUACCGACCAUAACUUGCAAGUAUUGUCCCUAGCCAAACCUUUUAAAGAUCAAGGGAGUCCCAUGUACCCAUAGAUAACAUUUUUGAGUUAUCUUGGGGGAGUCCAAUGUAACCCACAAGUAUUCCAUCAUUUGUUUAGGGGAAUCCCUUAUACCCCACAAGUUGUUUAAUAACCAUAUUUACUCGGGGGAUUCCCUUGUGCCCAACAAGGAUGUUUAAUUAACCAAACCAUUACCACCUUUUACCAUUCCAAACCUAUUUAAACUAUUUAUAUCAUUUAAGGCUCCCUUACGAAAUUGAAACCAUGCAUAAGUUUCAUUAAAAAUCUAAUAUUAUAAUGAAAGCAUUGUUAUAGGCAUUUUAUCAAACACAUUGGAGGCAUAGUAUUUCCAAAACCAAUUCCAAUUACCAAUAACCAUUCUCGUACAAUCCAAUUAUCCAAACCACCAAUAAAUCAUGUAAAAACAUAAUUAAAUCAUGGGAAAACAAUAACCAUGAAAUUAUAACCAAAAAUUCAUAUUAUAUUUGAAAACCCAAAACCAUAUAAUAAUCAAACCAUGAAAAAAUUGUAUAAAACUAUGCCCUUAGUACUAACAAUGAGGGAAGAGAACAUGCCUUAAACCAAGAAGAUGAUAGACAGAAAUCACCAACAUAAUCCCCAAAUUAAUCCUUAAGAUGAAACCCUAGAUUCCUUUUCCCAAGAGCUUUAGAGAGGAUUAAAGAGUGAUUUCUAAGUGUUAAUAAAUAGAAUAAUAGGGCAAAUAACCUUCCAAGUAAGUUAAAAGUUGUGGAACCUUAUUGGAUUAAGUGGGGAAAUAUCCAGAUUACCCCUACUUAAGCUACAUAAAAUUCCCGUCAUAGGGUACGACUGACCCAUACUACUCGUACCGUCCCUAUAUGAGUGGUACCUACCACUUAUACCCUAGGCCUUCCUUCUAGGACCUAACACUAUCCAAGGUAUGACUCCUAUAAAAAUAAAUAGUACCCUAGUAUACGACUAGUACACAUGACCCGUACCUCUGGCAGAAUAGAAUCUAAAUAGGAUUGAACACUCCACCAUAUGAGUCCAUGGUAUGACUUGUACCCUGGCUUACGGCUCAUGGUGAGCCACUCGUACUCAUAUUCAACCUAAGUCACUAAGUAUAAGAUUAUGUAAAGUAACCAAACAACUCGUAUCCAUCUAUAUGACUCGUACCACCCAAGUCAUAUCCAAACCAGAAACCAAAUCCAACCCACCAACUAAUAUUGGUCAGCAUACGACUAACCCAUACAGCUCUAUCCCAAUGUACGAUUAAUUUUUGCUAGUCGUACCCUAUCUAGAGACUAGAAUCUAGAAAAUUUUCUAAGGCCAGAAACCCAGGGUGUUUCAAUCUCCCCCACUAGGAAAAUUCGUCCUUGUAUGGAGAACAAGGUAAGGUAAACAUAAGAACGAUUCAUUUCCAUUAUCAAAUAUCAAUCCAACCUUUAACCAUGUCAAAACAUAGAGAUGCAAAGAUAUUAAUCUUUCCUUUAACAAAGUUUGAAAACAAAAGUAAAUUGAAGAAAACAUACCUUUUGCAUGAAUCUCAGGAGCAAACAAAUAGAUGCGGAUAUUUGGAAUUCAUGUCCUCCUCCACUUUCUAUGUAGCCUCUAACCCCUUAUGGUUCUGCAAUAGAACCUUAACCGAGGCCAUAUCCUUGGCUCAUAACCAAUGAACCUGCCUAAUCCAAUAUCUCAAGUGGGACCUCUUCAUAAGAUAGAGAAUCCAAGAUACCUAUUCCUUCCAAGGGAACAAUCAAAGAAGGAUUACUAAGGCUUUUUCUCAACAUAGAUACAUGAAAUAUUGAAUGAAUGGAGCUCAAACCUGAAGGAAACUCCUAUUCAUAAGCCAUAUUACCAUUCCUCCGCAAAAUCGUAUAAGAACCAGUAAACUAGGGGCUGAGCUUUCCCUUCUUACCAAACUACAUUACUCUCUUCAUGGGAGAUACUAUUAGAAAUACCCUAUCCACAACCUCAAACUCUAAGUCUCUACACCUUAUAUCCACAUAGGAAUUUUUGCGACUUUGAUCAGCCUUAAGUGAUAUCCUAAACACUAAGAAAUCACGAAAUUUGGGGUUCAACAAACAAUUUCCAGCAAACACAACUAAAGAAAACAACACACAAAGAAAGGGGGAGAAGGUGAAGAUUACAUAAGAUGUAAAGAUAGUAAAGUAACCCUUACUUCCACAAGUGAAUAGCACUAGAAGGUGUAUCAAACCUUCAAACACACAUCACCAUGUAAGUUUAAACGUAUAACAUCUCGUAUUUUGCUUGUACUUGUUCUAAUUUUAUGGAACUUGGUAUAGCCUUUUAAUACAUAUAAUGUUGUUAUGCAAGUAUUAAUGGUAUAGAUGGAAUUAUAGAUGCUGCCCAUACAGUUUAAUGUGAUGCGACUACGUUAAACUUAGAAUCAUAAGCUAUAUUUGAAUCUAAAGUUUAAAGUGACCAAGUGUGUAUAAGUUGAAGGUUAGAUUAAAGGGAUUAGGAGCUGAAAAUGGAGCAAAAUAUUGAGGUGCUAGCUUGACUUAUUUAAGCUAGUAAGUGAGUCACCUACUUAAGUUGUUUGGACCAAAUUAAUGGACCCAUGGAUAUGGAUCAGAUUUGGGUCUAUGCUAAUAUACUCAUUUGGGACAAAUUGAACAAAAGAGAAAGAAAAUGGAUAAGUGGCCCAACACACCAAUCUGCCAAGGCCCAAAUAUAAUUGAGCCCAACAAGAAAUUAAGCAAGUAGGUGCAUCAGCUACUUUGAAGUUUCAGAAGCUUGGACCCUUAAGUAGGUGCAUCACCUACUUGGAUCAAUUUGACCAAUUUUAUGGUCCAAAAUGCAGCUGAGGAGGUGGACAAGAUAGGGCCUUUAAAAGGCCAAGUUGCUGGUCAUUUUACUUCACUUUUAAAUCAUAAAAAAAGGAGUAUAUUUCAGAAAAUCUCUUUCUACUCUCUCUAAAACAACAAGAACAAUAGCCCUAUUUUUCCUUCUAGGGUUCUUGAAGAAACCCUCACCUUUGCAGCCAAAGGUAAGUGAAAAACACUUAAGCUUUUGUUUAUUUAUCUCAUGGAAGAUUAGGAAAACAAGUUAUAAGUGUUUGACUAUAAGUAUAUGGCUGAUUAUAGAACAAGCUGUUUGUUCACGUUUCCUUGUUAUUGAGAAACUUUUUUUUCUUCUUCUUUGGGGCUUAAGUGUGAAGGAAAGUUCAAGCUCUUAAAGAGUUCAAUUAAAAGAAUAAGUUGCUGAAUUGAGGUAAGAUGACUGCUCCAUUUUGUUUUUAUUAUAUAUGAACUUGAGAAGGGAUUAUGGAUGUCUUGUUAUUGAGAACUCAAGAGAUGAUGAGUUCAAUAAUUGAUUGCUACAAUAAAAGGGAUUUGGGACUNNNNNNNNNNNNNNNNNNNNNNNNNNNNNNNNNNNNNNNNNNNNNNNNNNNNNNNNNNNNNNNNNNNNNNNNNNNNNNNNNNNNNNNNNNNNNNNNNNNNNNNNNNNNNNNNNNNNNNNNNNNNNNNNNNNNNNNNNNNNNNNNNNNNNNNNNNNNNNNNNNNNNNNNNNNNNNNNNNNNNNNNNNNNNNNNNNNNNNNNNNNNNNNNNNNNNNNNNNNNNNNNNNNNNNNNNNNNNNNNNNNNNNNNNNNNNNNNNNNNNNNNNNNNNNNNNNNNNNNNNNNNNNNNNNNNNNNNNNNNNNNNNNNNNNNNNNNNNNNNNNNNNNNNNNNNNNNNNNNNNNNNNAGUAUCUCAAAUGUGUUGAUUGGUUACUAAUACUAGUUUACCAUAUAUUCUAUUGUAGAUAAGUAAUCUAAAAGUCGGG